AUAGUGGCGAAAUGCAAGCAAGUUCCUCUGGCAGUGAUUAACUUGGGGACUCAACUGUAUGGUAGGACUGAUGAAAAAGAGUGGGAAUCGGUGAGAGAUAGUGAGAAGUGGGAAGAAGAGGGAGAUGGUAUUUUACCUGCCUUGAAAAUAAGCUAUCAAAGACUGCCGCCUCACUUGAAAAGAUGCUUUCUUUAUUGUUCGGUUUUUCCAAAAGAUUACCGGUUCGGAGAUCUCUAUUUGGUGCAAUUUUGGAUGGCAAAUGGGCUCAUUCAUCAAUCAUCAAAUCCAAAUGAGAAAUUGGACGAUGUUGGCUUGCGUUAUGUGCGCGAGUUGAUCUCAAGAUGUUUCUUCCAAGAUUAUGUGGGUAGGAUUGUUGGAGCUAUCUUUAAGAUGCAUGACUUAAUGCAUGAUCUUGCAUCAUCAUUGGCUCAAAAUGAGUUUUCAAUCAUAAGCUCUCAAAACCACCAAAUUUCCAAAACGACCCGUCAUUUGACAGUUCUUGACUCUGAUUCAUUUUUUCAUAAAACUCUCCCCAAGUUCCCAAACAACUUCCAUCAAGUGCGGUCAAUAGUCUUUGUAGAUAGUAUAGUGGGGCCUACAUGCAAAACAGACUUUGAGAAAUGUUUGUUAGAAUUUAAGCAUUUGCGGUCUUUGGAAUUAAUGGAUGAUUCUGAAUUUGAGGCUUUUCCGGAGAGGAUUGGCGCCUUGAAACACUUGAGAUAUCUCCAUUUUGGGAAGAACGCAAAAAUAAAAAGACUCCCAAAAUCUAUUUUCAAAUUGCAAAACUUGCAAGCUCUGGUUACAGGUGAAGGAUUAGAAGAGCUGCCCAAAGAUGUGAGGUACAUGAUCAGCCUUAGAUUUUUAUUUCUAUGUACUCAGCAGAAGCGGUUGCCAGAAGGUGGGAUUGGUUGUUUGGAGUGUCUUCAAACUUUAUUCAUUGUUGGUUGUGAAAAUCUAGAAAAUUUGUGCGAAGAUAUGCAAGGUCUUAAAAGUCUUCGGAAAUUGGUUAUUUGUCUUUGUGAUAGCUUGAUUUCUCUGCCAAGAAGCAUAAAAUGCUUAACUACUCUGGAAGAAUUAUUUAUUAGUAAUUGUGAAAAGCUUGAUUUGAUGACAAUAGAAGAAAAGAAAGAGGAAAAAAUUCAACCUCUUUCCCUUUCCCUUCGUAUUGUAAUGUUUGAAUACUUACCAGCAACUCUUGCUGUACCAGAGCAGCUUCUUCAAGGAUCUGCAGAAUCCUUACAAACAUUUAUCAUCGGAGACUGUCCAAACAUUGAAGAAAUGCCGGAGUCCAUCAGCAAUUUAAAAAAACUUCAAAAGCUUCGUAUCAGUGAUUGUCCAAGUUUGAGCAAAAGGUGCCAAAAGGGAACAGGAGAAGAUUGGCCCAAGAUCGCACAUAUCCCUAAAAUCAAGGUUGACGAUGAUGACAGUGGUGAAGAAACAUCUGGUUAGGUAUGGGUGAUGAGUAUUUAAAUCUAUCAUAUUUAGUUUAACAUUUUUAUCCAUUCUUCAAUUCCUUUUUUCGUUUAAAUUAUUUUCCCUGAAAACAAUAUUAGCUUUGAAAAAACAAAAAAAACUGACAAAACCUCUUGUGUUUUGGAGAGGCAGGUUCAAGUGGAACUCCAUAAGCAAGAGAAGAAGACAAGGUAUGUCAUGAUAAAAUGCAAAGUUGACUAAUUCAUUCAGCAAUUUAAAUUUCUUUGAACUUAAUAAAUUCUAUGUUUGUCUAAUUUUUUUCAGUUUUCGGUGGGGUUUCUGCUGACGGUUAUAAUUCGGGGACUUCAAUUUGUUCGGUGUUGUUGCUGACAAUCUGGUUUGUUCAAAUAAAGAUGAAGAGUGUUUGCUGGAGAUUAUUAUUCGUUCUCUGUGUGCUUUGCUCGUAGUUCCUGCUGGUGAUCUACUUGUCUUUUCAUUUGUUCAUAAUGGUUGCCAAUCAGUUCAUUUGGUGGUCAUGGAAUUUGCUCCCUCGAUGAUACCAUAGUGGUAGAGAUUGUCAUAUAGAAUUUGGAGCUGAAUAUGGUGAUCUUCCAUUUGUAACAUAUUUACUCAGACCUGGUUUUCGUCAUACUGGAUUUUAUAGCUAAAAUAUUAAACGAAACCAGGUUGCAGCUUGCAGAGGAGGCAGGGGUGGUGCUGUGAGCCCUGUUUUGAAAAUUUUCAUUUGUCCCAUUUUCCUUUUUUUAAACUAUGUGCCACCAGCAUCAAGCAGCUUAAAUUUAUCUAAUCAUCGUUAUCAAGCUUUAAUUUAGCAUUAGUGACUUGAAUUUGAAUCAUCACUAUCCAGAUAUUCCUUGUGCAAAAGACUAGGAGUGCUCCUUUUUGUUUCGUUCAUGUCAUUUUCCUUGCUUCUAGGCCAUGGGAUGUUUCUAGGCCAAGAUUUAAAGCUAUUCCCCUACACAUAUUUGCCUUAUCUCAACUAUCAUUCAUUCCAAGAAAUGGACAUUCUCUGUCAUCUUCACCUUCACUGUUAUCCCCUCAACCUUCUUGUUUUUAGCACUCAAAAUGUUUGCUGGAAAAUCCAUCAACAAUCCCAACUAUCCACCAGUUAAAGGCACAAACUUUAACCAGCUUCUCUAUGACUGCCAAAUUGAGCUAAUCGUUUCUAACUCUGGAGUGGAUUGUGUUUUCAUUGAUAGUGUAUAUGGAUUUCUUUUAUAUAUAUAAAUCAAGUAUUGAACAUAUUCAUCCUAAUAUAAUAAUAAAAUCAAAGAAGAAUAGCUUAGGUGGUCUCAUCAAACUAUAGAUGAAACAUCUAUACUCACCAUCUAAAAAUUCAUUCAAGACUAUAAAUAGAUCUUCAAGAUAAAACUAAAAGCUAAUAGAACCAUCCAAAAAUACAAAGCAAGAUUUCUUGUUAAAGGUUUCAAACAAUAAAAAGAAAAAAAAUAUUAUUUUACUACAUACUUAUACUUAUCUAUGUUAAUAAUAACUUUUAUAUGUACAUUAAUAGUUAUUAUAAUUAUUAACAAGUUAGGAAUACAUCAAAUUUAUGGAAAAAUAGUUUUUUAAAUGGUGAUUUUGAUGGAGAGUUAUUUAUAAAACAACCUAAGAGGUUUGUUGUUAAAAAAAUAAAAAAUAAAAAGAUUUUAAACUUGUGAAGUUAUUAUAUAGUUUGAAAUAAGCUUCUAAAUAAUUGCAUGAAAAAUUUGAUAAUGUUAUAUUGUUAAAUAAGUUUAAAAUUAAUAAGGUUAAUAAAAGUAUUUAUAUAAAAAUUAUAAAUAAAAAUUGUGUUAUUACAUUAUUUAUAUUGAUGGAUGUUAAUUUUGGGUAACAUCAAAGCAAAUAUAUGAUCAAAUUUUUCAAAAUAAUAAUAUUAACUAACCCAGGGGCAUCUUGCAAUGUUGAAAGAUCGUCAAGCAGUAGCAGUCAAGGUUGGUUGGUGCGGUGUCACUUAUUAUUAUGGUCCGGGUUUUGUAUGGCAACUAGAUGAUUUUUUUUUUUUCAUUAAGUGGUUAGUCUAGUGGUAAAGAUAUUGGGCUUGAGAGAUAUACUCCCUGUUUAGGGUUUAAAUUUCACUGAAUAUAUUUUCUUGGGGCCAUGCCCACUGAUGUAAAAAAUCAAUGAUUUAUCAUGUUUUUGUAUGGAAAAUUUCUAUGGCCACGGGCACAAGAGUUCAAAGAUUUAAUUGAGAUACAUGUAAAUUGAUUCGGAUAUCCCGGUUAAAAAAAAAACUAAUGAUUUUUGUGAAUUAAAUUAGGAAGUUUAAGAGUGUUUCAACAAACUAAUGAUUCUGAUGUAAAAAACUAAUGAUUCUGAUGUAAAAAACUAAUGUUUUUGUGUAUUUAUGUUGUUGAAUCUUAGCUUACCUUCCAAUAUUAUAGCUGCAUGUGACUGAAUGCCGGGAUUCAUUCAUUCCCUCAAUCUUUUAUUCGAUUACUACUAACAGCAACCAUUGACGUCGCCGCCUUCACUCUCCAGACCACCACAACCACCUCCUCCUCUUUCCUUGAUAAAUUCUCCUCUUCAAAUCCACUUUCCAAAUCUUCUUUAUUUAUGUUAUUGUAACAUGAUUUUUAACCCCUCUAAAAUAUCUAAAAAUAUAUUUCAACGAGAAGAAAAUAUUUCAGUUAAACAAUAUUUCAAAAAUACAUAUUUUAAGAAUUUCAAAAAAAUAUUUUUUAAAAAUUUCAAAAAAAAACAAAGAAAAAUUACAAUAAGUGGAGGUUGAAAUUCAUUAAAUAAUUAAAAAUUGAAAAGCUAAGGACCAAAUCAAAAAAAGGUAUCAAUAUUCAAGGACUAUAUGCAAUUCAAUUAGGGAUGAGAUUGAGAAAAAAAUAAAAAACAAAUAGUUGAAAUUUGCCAAAAAUGAAACAAUUAAAGAUCCAAGAACCAAACUUGGGGACCUUUUAAAAAAUGAAAUUUUCCCUCACAUCAAAAUGUUGUCUUUUUAAAUUAAAAAUAAAUAAAUGCAACGGAGUCGUUCUGUCAAUGAAAAAAUAUUUUUUUUAAAAAAAAAGCAUCAGAAGAAAUUGAUUUCCAAAAAAGUCCUAAAUGUUCUCUUAUUGUAAGAUUGAGUUUUACUUGGCAAAAGCAUAUCUGGGCUAAAUUAAACAGAUGGAUCAAAUGGAUAUAUAGAUAUCCAUUUGAUAGUGGUAGAGAUUGUCAGAUAGAAUUUGGAGCUGUAUUUGAACUCUUCCCAUAGAUGAAGUGGUCUUGGGAUUAGCUAAUUCUAUGAUGUUUCGACUGCUUAUGAACUCAAAAAUGAUUCAGACAAAAGCAUGUAGGCCAAAAUUAAUGGCCAAUUAAAGUUCAUUUAUUAAGAAAGUACAUGAUUCAAAGAUACGAGACUAAGAUGAAAAACAUGGCAAAAAGAGAUUGGUUUUUUAAACUUGAAACUAAACAUACACUUCAAUCCUCUAACUUUUUAAAUUAUAAACUUUCAGUCCCUAACAAUUUAUAUUAUUUGUUAAUUAUAAUUUUUAUUAUAAUGAUCAGCCUUGGAUAUUUAUUUCUAGAUACUAAGCAGAUGCGGUUGCCAAAAGGUGGGAUUGGUUGUUUGAAAUUUCUUCAAACUUUACUCAUCCAUGAGUGUUAAAAUCUAGAAAAUUUGUGCCAAGAUACGCAAGGUCUUGAAAAGAUGCCUUCUUUGUUGUUUCAUUUUUUCAAAAGAUUACUACUUCUAGGAUAUUGGUUGAAUUGCGUUUCAAAAAAUGUUUUAUUAAAAUUAAUUUUUUUGCUUAACAUUAUUUUUUUGUUUUAUUAUUUUAUUUAAUAAGUUGAUGUCAAAACUAUUUUUUUAAAAUAAAAAAUUAUUUUAAUAUAUUUUUAAAUAAAAAAAUAUUUUAAAAAACAUCCUAGUAAAAUUUUGAAUUGCACAUGAACUCAUUCAAUCAAAGUCCAAAUGAUAGCUUUAUAUGAGAUUAUUCUAUUUUCAUUACUGAAUUGUGAAUUUAAUAGGAUAAUCUGAAUUAAUUUUUUUUUUUUUUGUAAUUUAUUUUUUAUAAAAUUAUUUUGAUUUAAAUCAUGAGUUUGCUUGGUGUAUUUAUUGAGGAGCACUUCAUUAAAGAAACAACCUAAUCUAAACAGAAGAUUUGCUUACUAUCCUGCAAUGUUGUGAAGGAGGUUUCCAACAUUUAAUUAAAAACUCAUGAACUAAAACACUUGGUCUCGAUUUGAGGAAGCAUGAAAUAGAUGGGAGAAUCCUCGACUAAAUCAAAGCACAUGGACUCCAAGUUAUUUUAUGAAUCAAAGAUCGAAAGAGUUCCUUUGUGCCUUGGUGAAAUCUCAGAUAGGAUAUAACUAUUUCGAAAGAUCGAAAUAGUUAUUUAUUUUUAUAAAAAUCAAACUAAACCAAAAAUAAUUGAUCUGAAUGUGAAAAUUGUUGGCAGUCAUGGGAUUAACAUAUUCGUGUUUUAGCUGCAAAUUUCUGAAUGCAAAGUUAAAAUUACAUUACGGAAUAAAGUAAAGGGUGUGGCGUUUUUCCUCUUCAUAUCAAUACUCGGAAUUUACUAUGCUCCUUAGCUGUAAUGCACUCAUAAUAAGGGUGUGCUUGAUUUAUUUUUAUUUUAAAAUGAAAUUUUUUAUAUUUUUAGAUUAUUUAUCAAAAAUAAUUUUUAAAAAAUAAAAAAAUAUAUUUCAAUACAUUACUACACAACUAUCCGAAUCUCAAAAAAAAAAAAAAAAACACCCUAAGAAAUUAAUUUGCAGGCAAUAAUUAACUCACUACAAGACGAAAAAACAACUAUUUGCUCUAUUUGGUCUUUGCAAAAGUUAGGGGUUCACCCAAAUUCUACGGACCCAUCCACAAACCAUUUAGAGUAAAAAAGAAAAAAGAAAAAAAAAAGCAAACAAUGGUCAAAGAUGCUCCGCAGCUGUAAUGCACUCAUAAUAAAAAAUUAAUUAUUUAUAAAAUUAUAUCAAUCUUCUUAUUUAAAUCACGAAUUUAAUAAAUUAAUUCAAGCUCCUUUAGAGUAAAAAUAAAAUAAGGGCAAACAAUGGUCAAAGAUGUUGGUCCAAGCCGAAGAAGUGCACCGGCUAAGCUCCUUUAAUGAAAUGGGUGCAUUUAGUAAAAGCACAUAAAUUCCACCAAAAAUAAAUUUCAAUGGUCAAAGAUAAGGGUCCAUGCCAAAGACGAUAAUUCAAACACAUAUCAGAAAAUAAGGCAGCUUUUUUUUCCCCUGAUAUAGGGUAUUUUUUAAAGUUUUGUUUUAAAAAAAUAUAUUAAAAUAAUAUUUUUAGAUAUUGUUUUUCCUUAUAUUUGCCCAUUAAAAUAUUUAUAAAAUACUAAAAAUAUUAUUUUGAAUCUUUUUCAAAAUAUACUCAAAAGUUUGGAAAAGACGGUCGAAUUACUCUCCUCAGUAGGGCUAAAAAAAUGAUGUUAGGGGUUCUCAUUUACUAUCAAUACUCAGAAUUUACUAUGCUCCGCAGCUGUAAUGCACUCAUAAUAAUAAAUUGAUUUGGAGGCAAUAAAUUGGUCUUUGCAAAAGUUAGGGGUUCCCAUUUAGAGUAAAAAAAUAAAAGAAAAAAAAGGCAAACAAUGGUCAAAGAUGCUCCGCAGCUGUAAUUCACUCAUAAUAAGAAAUUAAUUAUUUAUAAAAUUAUAUCAAUCUCCUGCUUCAAAUAACGAAUUUAAUAGAUUAAUUCAGGCUACUUUAGGGUAAAAAUAAAAUAAGGGCAAACAAUGGUCAAAGAUGUGGGUCCAAGCCAAAGAAGUGCACCGGCUAAGCUCCUUUAUUGAAAUGGCUGCAUUUAGUGCACUAGUAAAAGCACAUAGAUUCCACCCAAAAAAAAAUAAAAUUAGUCCUGUUUAUCUGCUAGAAAUUAGUUUGUUUUAAAGUGAAUUUUAAAAAAAUAAAUUCUAGAAAAGUAAAUUAUUUUAUGAUAUUUGACAGUGUAAUGAAAAAUAAGUUGGAAAACACUUUCUAGUGUUCGGUUAUGUUAUGGAAAAUGAGCUGGAAAAUAACUUAUUAAUGUUUUAUUUUUCUCAAGUUUAUUAAAAUAACGAGGAACAAAUCUUACAAAUUAAAAGGUUGAAUGAGAAUGAAAUUAAAAAAAUAUAUAAUUUCAUAAAUUAUCUCAAAUAAAAUAAAUAAUAAUCAAAAUAAUAAAGAUCAAAUCUAAAAAAUAAAAAAAAUAAAAGAUGAAGAAAUUAUAAUAAUAAUAAUUAAUAUUUCAUAAAUUAUUUCAAAUAAAAUAAGUAACAAUUAAAAGAAUGAGGACCAAAUUUGAUACAUAAAAAAUUUCAAUAAAAAAAUAAUAAGAAAAAAGCAAAUAAAAUUUAAUUUUAAACCUAAAUAAAAUUUAUUAGCAUCAUCACUAUCAUAAUUGAAAACUCUUGUGAAAGUACAUAAGAUAGGAUUGUUUAUGCUAUUGUGCUUACUAUCAUAAUUUAAUUUUUUUUUUUAUCUCUGAUGCAUCUCAGAUUCUGAAAGAGACAUAACUUGCUUUUCUACAAGGAUUGUUUAUGCUAUUGUGUUUACUGCUGAGGAAGUUCUUGAGAAAGUAAAGGAUAGAUUCUUAAGAAGAUUUUUUCCAAAGUAAAAGAUUUGAUGAACAUCGUACAUUCGUUCCUUCAAUCACCACAGAGUAAGGAUAAAUUUUUAUUUGUUUUUUCUCCCUGGCCAUGGCCAUGCUCGAAAGAAAAUAUUUUAGGACUAGUUUGGGCCAUGGCCCAAACACUACUGGGCUUAUAGUCUAUUAAAACUCUUAAAAAUCCAUGAAUCCAGUAUCCCAGCAAAACCUUGAUAAACUCUCACCGUUACCUUUUUUAUAUGGUUUUGUUGUGUAAAGUUUGUUUGAUAGUAUAAUAAUUAUUAUUUUUUAAAGAAUUUUUUAAAAAUAAUAUAUUAAAAUAAUAUAUUUUUUUAUUUUUAAAAAAUUAUUUUGACUUCGUUACAUUAAAAUAAUAAGAAAAUACUAAAAUAUAUUAAUUUCAAGUAAACAAAAAAAUUUUAAAUUUUUAAAUUUUUAAAAAUACUUUUGAAACACAAAAACAAAACAAAAACUAAAACUAAAUAAUUAAAUAAGUUAAGAAUGUAACUUGAUUUGUUAAACAAUAUUUUCCCUCUUCAGCAGCUUGAGAUUUGGGUAUAUAAGUAAAGAUUAAGUAAUAACAUCUGUUCCACCCUAAUUUAAUUUAAAUUAAAAUGAUAUAAAAAAUCAAAACAAAUUUAAUUCAUAUCAGUAUAUUAAAAAAAAAUCAAGACAAAUUUAAUUUAAAGUAAAAUAAAUUUUUAAAAAAUAAAACUUCUAAAACAUACAUUUAAAAUACAAAAAUAAACAAGUUAUUACUCUGCUACGCAGCUGUAAUGCACUCAUAAUAAGAAAUUGAUUUGUAGGCAAUAAUUGACGAAAAAACAACUGUUUGCUCUGUUUGGUCUUUGCAAAAGUUAGGAAGUGCACCGGCUAAGCUCCUUUAAUGAAAUUGCUGCAUUUAGUAAAAGCACAUAAAUUCCACCAAAAAUAAAUUUCAAUGGUCAAAGAUAAGGGUCCAUGCCAAAGACAAUAAUUCAAACACAUAUCAGAAAAUAAGGCAGUUUUUUUUUUCCCCUGAUGUAGGGUAUUUUUAAAAUUUUUGUUUUAAAAAAAUAUAUUAAAAUAAUAUUUUUAGAUAUUGUUUUUCUUUAUAUUUGCCCAUUAAAAUAUUUAUAAAAUACUAAAAAUAUUAUUUUGAAUCUUUUUCAAAAUAUACUCAAAAGUUUGGAAAAGCCGGUCGAAUUACUCUCCUCAGUAGGGCUAAAAAAAUAAUGUUAGGGGUUCCCAUUUACUAUCAAUACUCAGAAUUUACUAUGCUCCGCAGCUGUAAUGCACUCAUAAUAAUAAAUUGAUUUGUAGGCAAUAAUUAACUCACUACAACACGAAAAAAACAACUGUUUGCUCUGUUUGGUCUUCGCAAAAGUUAGGAAGUGCAUCCAUUUUCUACGAACCCAUCCACAAACCAUUUUGAGUAAAAAAAUAAAAAUAAAAAAUAAAAAAAAGGGCAAACAAUGGUCAAAUAUAAUGUAUCAAAUAAGUUAAUAAUGUAUUUAAUUUAUUAUAUAUUAUUUUCCCUCCUCAACUUCACAAUUGGGUACAUAAAUUAAGAUUAAGUAGAUAACACGUAAGUAGGGUGGGAUUAUAGCUUCUUGGUCACCUACUCAAAAACAAUUAAGGAUUAAAUCGAUCGCUAAUAUAAUGAAGAAAAGAAAAGAAAGACAACAGGAGAACAACCAAUUAAACAAGCGAUCCAUGGAGCCAUUGUACAUUUUAAUUAAGAAGACUCAACGACUUCUCCUCUCCACUCAGAAAGCGGAACUCCACUUUAUAAAGUUGCGAUUAUAGUUUUGAAAAAAAAAAAGUGCGAACCAAGUGGCCUUAUUGCAAUGCUCUUUGGACGAUGGAACACACACACACAUAUAUACAGACAAGAAUGAUGACAAAAGGAGUAAGAAAUCAUUGCUUUUGCUUGAAAAAAUGAAUUGCUUAAAUUAAAUAUCCAGUCAUCGACUAUCAAUCUGAGUCAGACCCUAUCACCUAUAACAUGAACCAGGAUCAUGCUUUUGCGAAUUGUUGGAUGCAUCAACGGUCUACAAGCUAUGCCCGGCAAGACGUUGUAGAAUUCCCUCACAUAAUGUUUCUGGUGCAAUGCUACCAUAACCAAAUCCAUUCGAGGAUUCAGGCGAGCUCUGUUCUGGUUUGCUCGUUCAUUUUACUUGUUGAACAGAGUCGCGUUUUUUUUUUUUAAUUUAUAAAUUAGAUAUAAUUUUCAUGUAUUUCUUAAAACUUACACCAUUUUAAUUAUAUAAUUGUUCUCUAAAAUAAAAUUUUAAAUUGGCUCAAAAUGAGUUUUAAAUCAUAAGCUCUCAAAACCACCGAUUUUCCAAAACGACCCGUCAUUUGUCAGUUAUUGAUUCCAUUUCAUUUUUUCAUCAAACUCUCCCCAGGUCCCCAAACAACUUCCAUCAAGUGUGGUCAAUAGUCUUUGCAGAUAGUAUAGUGGGGCCUACAUGCACAACAGACUUUGAGAAAUGUUUGUCAGAAUUUAAGCAUUUGCGGUCUUUGGAAUUAAGGGAUGAUUUUGAAUUUGAGGCUUUUCCGGAGAGGAUUGGCACCUUGAAACAUUUGAGAUAUCUCAAUUUUUUUAACAACAAAAAAAUAAAAGGACUCCAGAAUCUCUUUUCAAAUUGCAAAAUUUGCAAGCUCUGGCUGUAGGUGAGGAGGGAUUACAAGAGCUGCCCAAAGAUGUGAGGUACAUGAUCAGCCUAAGAUUUUUACAUGUAGUUACUAAGCACAAGCGGUUGCCAGAAGGUGGGAUUGGGUGCUUGGAGUGUCUUCAAACUUUGUCCAUUUUUCGUUGUGAAAAUAUUAUUAAAUUCUAUGUUUGUCUAAUUUUCUUCAGCUGUCGUUGGGGUUAUAAUUCGGGGACUUCAAUUUGUUCGGUGUUGUUGCUGACAAUCUAGUUUGUUCAAAUAAAGAUGAAGAGUGUUUGCUGGAGAUUGAUAUUCGUUCUCUGUGUGCUUCGCUCGUAGUUCCUGCUGGUGAUGUACUCGGCUUUUCAUUUGUUCAUAAUGGCUGCCAAUCAGUUCAAAAGCUAAGUAUCAAUAUUCAAGGACUAUAUGUAAUGCAAUCAGGGAUAAAAUUGAGAAAAAAAAUGGUUGAAAUUUGCCAAAAAUGAAACAAUUAAACUUGGGGGACCUUUAAAUAAAUGAAAUUUUCCCUCACAUCAAAAUGUUGUCAUUUUAAAUAAUAAUAAAAAAAAUUAAAUGCAACGGAGUCAUUCUGAUGCCUCGCUUCACUACUAUUUGAUCGCUUUCCCUUGCUCCAAAUCUUUUAAGCAAAUCAUGGCUGGGAAGGCACCGAAAUCCUUUGACAGUGUGUCGUUAACGGUAUUGAUACUCCUAAAUCUGGGUAAUGUAAGCGACGUGUCGCUUGUUAUUUUUUUUAAAAGCAUUAAGAGUCAGUCGCCCUUUAAGAAGUUUUUUUUUUAAACAAGUCCCAGACAUUAGAGGCCUGGAAGCUCCUGAGCCUUUCUAGUUCGAGAGAUUGAGUUUUUUUUUAAAAUUUUCUUUUAUUAUAAUUGUAUUUUUUUUGUUGCUUAUUUAAUUUUUAAAUUUUAUUAUUUAUUAUUUAAUUGAUUAUUAAUUAGACAAUGUAAUUUAUUUUCGUUUGAUUUUUUUUUCAAUUAUUUUGAUAUUUUAUUAAUUCUUAAUUUUAUAGGUGAAACAUUUGAGACAUAUUUUUUUCACGGCGAACACAAAAAUAAAAAAUACUCCCAAAAUCUAUUUUCAAAUUACAAAAUUUGCAAGUUCUGGUUGUGGGUGAAGAAGGAUCAGAAGAGCUGCCCAAAGAUGAGAGGUACGUAAUCAGCCUUGGAUAUUUAGUCAUAAUUGCUGAGCAAAAGCGGUUGCCAGAAGGUGGGAUUGGGUGCUUGAAAUUUCUUCGAACUUUACUGAUCUAUGAGUGUGAAAAUCUACAAAAGAUGCUUUCUUCGUUGUUCCAUUGUUUCAAAAGAUUACUUCUUUUAUGAUGUCAUUUGAAUUCCGUAUGGGAUGAUGUAAAAUAAAUUUUAAAAAAUAUAUAAAUAUUAUUUUAAUAUAUUUUUAAAUAAAAAAAACUUUUUUAAAAAAUAAUUUUGAAUGUCAAAUAACAGCUUGGAACAUGCUGGCUUGCGUUAGGUGCCCGCGUUGAUCUCAAAAUGUUUCUUUUUAACUACAUUGAAUAAUAAGCUCUCAAAACCGCCAAUUUUCCAAACUAUAAAAAUAUUUGUCAGUUGUCGAUUCCAUUUCAUUUUUUUUUAAUCAAACUCUCCGGCACCAAGUCCCCAAAUGAGUUCGACCAUGUACAUUUACUUGUCUGAAAGCAAGGGGACCCUUCUCCACUUGGUCAAAUAUAGGCAGCCAUGAUUUUAACAUAUCCCGGAUUUCCAAUUGACAUCAAAUAUAAUGUAUUUAAUUUAAUAUAUAUUAUUUUCCCUCUUCAACUUCGAAUUUUAAGGAUUAAGUAGAUAACAAGUAGGGAGGAAUCAUAGCUUCUUGUUCAACUACUCAAAAACAAUUAAGGAUUAAAUCGAUCGCUAAUAUUAUGAAGAAAAGAUAAGAACGAGAACAACUUAUUAAACAAGCAAUGCAUGGAGCCAUCGUGCAUUUUAAUUAAGAAGACUCAACGACUUCUCCUCUCCACUCGGAAAGCGGAACUCCACUGAUCUUAUCUCAAUCAUUUUUUCCUACCAAACACUCCUCCCCUCACCCAAAAAGAAAAUGGCUGAAGCUUUUGCAUCCGAGAUUGCAAAAUCCCUUUUAGGGAAGUUAGGUUCUUUUGCUGUUCAAGAAUUUCGUUUGGCAUGGGGACUUGAAGAUGACCUUGCACGUCUUGAAGAGAGAUUGAAAGCCAUCAACGCGGUGCUGUCCGAUGCUGAGAAGCAACAAUCAAAGAAUGACAGGAUUCGGCUCUGGCUCCAUAUGCUCAAACAAGUCUUGUAUGAUGCCGAGGACGUGCUGGACGAAAUCGAGUGCGAAACUUUGCGAAGAGAGGUGGUGAAAACUACAGGGAGCACCAGCAGAAAGGUACGGCGCUUCUUUUCAAGCUCUAAUAAGAUUGCAUUCCGUUUAAGAAUGGGUCAUAAGAUAAAGAGCAUCAUAGAAAGACUAGCUGAGAUUUCAUCUCUUAAGUCUGACUUCAACCUCAGCGAGCAGGGUAUUGAUUGUAGUCAUGUCUUGCAUGAGGAAACAGGGAUGAACCGACCCUUUGAUAGCUUCUCCGGUCUUAUCGGAAGAGAUAAAGACAAAGAACGCAUCAUCAACCUUUUAGCAGAACCUUUUAAGGUUGGUGAUGCACAUCCCCUUGUCCUUCCGAUAGUAGGAAUGGGAGGCUUGGGGAAGACAUCUCUUGCCAAAUCGGUGUGUGAUGCUGAAAAUGUAAAAUGUCAUUUUGAACUGAAGAUGGAGGCAUGUGUUUCAGAUGAUUUUUCCUUGAAACAUGUGAUACAAAGGAUUAUUAAAUCUGCAACUGGGGAAAGAUGUGCGGAUUUGGAUGAGGGUGAACUUAAUAAAAAACUUGAAGAAAUUGUGAAGGGUAAGAAAUACCUGCUUCUUUUGGAUGAUGUAUGGAAUGAAGAUGCUCAAAAAUGGUUGUUGUUGAAGCCUUCGUUAUCAAAAGGUGCUGAUGGAAGUAAGAUUAUAGUAACUACCCGUAUUAAACGUGUUGCUGAGAUUAUGGGUACUGUUACUGCGUACUACCUAAGUCUUCUUGGUCAGGAGGCCUGUCUGUCGUUGUUUUACAAGUGUGCAUUCAAGGAAGGGCAAAUGGAGUUGUAUCCAAAUUUGGUUGGAAUUGGGAAAGAAAUAGUGGCAAAAUGCAAGCAAGUUCCUCUGGCAGUGAUUAACUUGGGGACUCAACUGUAUGGUAAAACUGAUGAAAAGGAGUGGGAAUCGGUGAGAGACAGUGAGAAGUGGGAAGAAGAGGGAGAUCGUAUUUUACCUGCCUUGAAAAUAAGUUAUCAAAGACUGCCGACACACCUGAAAAGAUGCUUUCUUUAUUGCUCCGUUUUUCCAAAAGAUUACCCAUUCUAUGAUAUCUCAUUGGUGCAUUUUUGGAUGGCACAAGGGCUCAUUCUCCCAUCAUCAAAUCCAAAUGAGAAACUGGAAGAUGUUGGCUUGCGUUAUGUGCGCGAGUUGAUGUCAAGAUGUUUCUUCCAAGAUUAUGAGGAUUGGGAUUAUGUUGCUUUCUUUAAAAUGCAUGAUUUAAUGCAUGAUCUUGCAUUAUCAUUGUCACAAAGUGAGUGUUCGAUCAUAGGCUCUCAAAACCAUCAAAUUUCCAAAACGACCCGUCAUUUGUCAGUUCUUGACUCUGAUUCAUUUUUUCAUAAAACUCUCCCCAAGUUUUCAAAUGAGUUCCACCAUGUGCGGUCAAUAGUCUUUGUAGAUAGUAUAAUGGGGCCUACAUGCAAAGCAGAUUUUAAGAAAUGUUUGUCAGAAUUUAAGCACUUGCGAUGUUUGGAAUUAAUGGAUGAUUCUGAAUUUGAGGUUUUCCCGGAGAGGAUCGGGGCGUUGAAACAUUUGAGAUAUCUCAAGUAUAGGUCCAACGCAAACAUGAAAAGACACCCAAAAUCUCUUUUCAAAUUACAAAAUUUGCAAGCUCUGGUUACAGGUUUUGGAUUAGAAGAGCUGCCCAAAGAUGUGAGGUACAUGAUCAGCCUUAAAUUUUUAAGUCUAGCUACUCAGCUGAAGCGGUUGCCAGAAAAAGGGAUUGGGUGUUUGGAGUGUCUUCAAACUUUAUUCAUUGUUGGUUGUGAAAAUCUAGAAAAUUUGUGCGAAGAUAUGGAAGGUCUUAAAAGUCUUCGGAAAUUGCUUAUUAGUAGCUGUGAAAGCUUGAUUUCUUUGCCACGAAGUAUCAAAUGCCUAACUACUCUUGAAGGAUUUUUUAUUAAUAACUGUAAAAAGCUUGAUUUAAUGACAAUAGAAGAAGAGAAAGAGAAAAAAAUUCAACCUCUUUUUCUUUCCCUUCGUAUUGUACUAUUUGCCAGCUUACCAGCAACUCUUGCUUUACCAGAACAGUUUCUUCAAGGAUCUGCAGAAUCUUUACAAACACUUAUCAUCACAGACUGUCCAAACAUUAGAGAAAUGCCAGAUUGCAUCGACAAUUUAAAGAAACUUCAAAAUCUUGAGGUCAUUGAUUGUCCAAGUUUGAGCAAAAGGUGCCAAAAGGGAACAGGAGAAGAUUGGCCCAAGAUCGCACAUAUCCCUAAAAUCAAGGUUGAUGAUGAUGACAGUGGUGAAGAAACAUCUGGUUAGGUACGAGUGAUGAAUAUUUAUAUCUAUCAUAGUUAGUUUCACUUCUUUAUCCAUUCUUCAAUUCCAUUUUUUUCCUUUUAAAUUCUUUUCAACGUUUAUUUGACAAAAACCUCUUGUGUUUUGGAGGGGCAGGUUCAAGUGGAACUCCAUCAAAUUUAACCCGAGCAAAAGAACAAGACAAGGCAUGUCGCAUGAUAAAAUGCAAAGUUAACUAAUUCAUUCAGCAAUUUAAAUUUCUUUGAACUCAAUACAUCAUUUUUAAAUUCUAUGUUUGUCUAAUUUCUUCAGGUUUACUACUGUGAGGGUCCUGUCGGCUAAGAUCUUCCAACAACAGUUUGUCACUUACGAAGAUCAGCUUAAGGCUCGGAGUGUCUGCUUUGUGUAAUUUCCUUGCCUAGCUGUGUGUGAUGAUUUGUCAUUGAUAAAUUGAUAAACAUUUUGUUGUUCUGAAUUAUCUUAUUUAAAAUAUUGUGUGUGAUCAUUUAAAUAAUUAUGCUUAACAUAUAAAUUCAUCCUUCUAAACAAACUAAAAACUGGAGUUGGGAGGACAAGGAGCAAGCUAUUUGUCUCUAAUAAUACAACAGUCAUCAAGAAAAAGAAAAUUGCUACCUAAUUAAGUUCAUGACUGACUUAUAUAUUUAGCUUAUUAAUUUUGAUUGAGUAGAGAUCUAGUUUAAUAAUUUUUUUUGUUGUAUAAAUAGUUGUAUAAACUUUUUAAAUUCUAUUUGAGAUUUUUUUAUGUAUAAAAACUGGUAAAAUUCUGCAAAUACACUUUUUUUAAAAAAAUAAAAAUUUGUUGAGGGUCAAAUAGCUAGAAAAGAUAUUCUUUCAUCUCUUGUGUACUUCUGCUUCUUUCCCACCCUUCUCCAAUAUUAAUGAAUCCAAACAACACGCGUGAAUCUAUUCUUUAUUUUUAAUGGGCUCGAACAUCUUGUUUAAGUCCAACACUGAUCAGAAAAUUUUUCUAGAACACCAUAUGGAUCCCUCAGUAUUUUUCAUUAAUUCUAUACAUAUUAUUUUAAAUAUAAUACAACUCAAAAUAUUAAAAUUAUAAAGUUACACUUUAAUCUUUUAUCUUCAUAAAAACACAAGAUUUAUAUGCUAUCAAUAUAUCUUCAAUCCUUUAUUUGAGGUGAAGUGUUUGAACUUUGAUCACUCAAACUCAUUAUUAAUUUAAUCACACAUCAAAUCUACAGUUAUAGAUGCUAUAAACGAUUAGCUAAAUACUAUUGAAAAACAAAGUUAUCUAUUUAGGAGUUUAACGAGAAUAUUAUUAUAUAAAUAUAAAUUUUUGUUCUCUAAGCUCACACUAUAAAAAUAUAGACUUUUUUCCUACAUAAAUAUACUAUUAAAUCUUGAAUCUUCAAAAAACAAUUUCGUGAUUGCUUUUCAUCAAUAGCUGGUUGUAUAUUUUUAUUUUAUUUUUUUUUCUUAUAAGAUAUAAAUGCAAAUUUCCUGAUUGUUUUUCACCAAUAGAAGGACUUUCUAUUAUAUUUUUAAAUCUAAUUUUAAACCUAAAUAAAAUUAAUUAGCAUCAUCACUAUCAUGAUUGAAAACUCUUGAGAAAGUACAUAAGAUAGGAUAGGUCAUGAUCAUCUUUGAUCAGAUGCCUCUCAGAGUAUGAGAGACACAUCACUUGUUUUUCUACGAGGAUUGUUUAUGCUACUGUGCUUACUGCUUAGGAAGUUCUAAGUAAACGAUAGAUUCUUAAAAAGAUUUGAUGACCAUCAUACAUUCGUUCCUUCAAAUCACCACAAAGUAAAGGAUAAUUUUUUUUUCUUUGUUUUUUUCUCCCUGGCCAUGCUCGAAGAAAAUAUUUUAGGCCUAGUUUAAUUUAAAGUAAAAUAAAUUUUAAAAAAUUAAAAUAUCUAAAACAUACAUAUAAAAUACAAAAAUAAACAAGUUAUUACUCCGCUGCGCAGCUGUAAUGCACUCAUAAUAAGAAAUUGAUUUGUAGGCAAUAAUUGAAAAAAAAACAACUGUUUGGUCUUUGCAAAAGUUAGGAAGUGCACCGGCUAAGCUCCUUUAAUGAAAUAGGUGCAUUUAGUAAAAGCACAUAAAUUCCACCAAAAAGAACUUUUAAAAUUAAAAUACAUUUCAAUCGUCAAAGAUAAGGGUACAUGCCAAAGACAAUAAUUCAAACACAUAUUCGAUAAUAGAUGGUUAUAAAAUUAAAUAUUAAUCUAAAAAUAAAUAUUUAUUUAAAACAAUUAUUUUAAAAAAACAAACAAAAAUAAAUAAUGCAAUCCAUUUCUUAACCAAUCCAAUAUUAAAUCAUAAAAUUAAGAAGAAAUAAAUUAAAAGACCAAAAACAAAAACAAAAUAUCAUAUCGGUGAGUAAACUUGUCAAACCUAUGAAUCGGGUAAGCCGGGCUAGGAUGUCAAACCUGUGAAUUGAGUUAUGGACUCCACGAGGAUUAUAAAAAAAAUUAUAAUCUAUUUUUUAUUUAACUAUACAAAUAACAAAAAUAAAGGAUUAUAAAAUCAAACACAAUCCCAAUACUGAGAUGUUUUUUAGAUUACGAUAAUCUCAUAAAAGGUAAAAUGAAACCAAUUAAGAAACUAAAUUCCCAAUUAAUUUAGUAUCUAAGGAUGGAAAAAAAACUAAUUUAAAAAAGUUAAACUUGCUAGACCCGCAAUCAAGUCAAUCAACCAAAUUUGUGAAUUGACCCACGGAUUUUAUAAAGUUUAAUAAUAUAACUUUUUUCUGAAACUUUUUUUUUAACUAUAUGAGAAGAAAAUAGACGAUAAAAAAAUUUAAGUUCAAUUAAAAAAAGACACUACACUAAACUCGUAAAUCAGGGCAACCAGGGUUACCCUAGCAAACCCGCAAACUAUGCUAACCUUAUAAAAAGGUAAAAUAAAAAGAAACAAAUUAUGAAGCCAAAUUCUUAAGCAUCUCAAUAUUAAAAGAUAAAAUCGACAAAAAUAAAUUUGAAAAAACAAUCAUGACACAAAUUCAAAAACAUAAAGAAAAAAAGCAAAACACCGUAGGUUACUAUUGUCAUUUACAGUGCAAUGCGUGUGGGUGAACAAUGGUUUCCUCACACCCUUUAAUUUUUGUUACUUUAUAAAAUUUAAUAAUAUGAUUUUUCUCUAAGACUAUUUUUUAACCAUACGAGAAAAAAAUAGACUAUAAAAAAGGUUAAAUUCAAUUAAAAAAAAGGCAACUCAUCAAACUUGUAAACCAGACUAACCUAAUUUACUUUAACAACCCCGCAAACCACAUUAAUCUCAUAUAAAAAAAUAAAAAGAAGCAAAUUACGAAGCUAAAUUCUUUAUAAUGUUAAUUUAAAAGAUGAAAUCAACAAAAAUAGAUUUGAAAAAAAAAUCAUAACAAAAAUUUAAAAAAACACACACAAAAAAAAGUAAAACAUUGUGGAUUACUAUUGUAAUUCACAGUGCAAUUGGGAGAACAGUGUUUUCCCUCAUAUCAUUUAAUUUUUGUUAUUUCAUAAAGUUUAAUAACAUAGUUUUUCUCUAGAACUAUUUUUUUUACAAUAUGAGAAAAAAUAGAAUAAAAAAAUCAAGUUCAAUUAAAAACCCACCAAAUAUAUAAACUGAGACAAUCUUUGCUAUUUCGAUAAACCAACAAACCAUGCUAACCUCAUAGAUAGAAAAAAUAAAAUGAAAAAAAAAUUUUUGACCAGGCUUUUUUUCAUAUGUAGGCUUCCAAAAGUUUUUUUUUUUCAAACAAAGUUAAUGGGUUUUGAAUUAAAUCAAGUCAAAUUACUCUUAUUUUUUUUUUAAUCUCGACCUGUCCAGGCUCCUAAUUAGUUAAAUUUCAGGAUGACUUGUCAAGCGAGUUCAUAUUUUAAAACUAUACUUUUAAGUUUUAACAUAUGAUAUCAAACCCGUGUUUCUUUGGCUCUUCCUCCACCAUAACAGCCUUCAUACUAUCCUGCUCAACAAGUCUCCAAGCAGCUUGCUCAAAAGCCAAUCCAGCCAUGUUGGCGGCUUAUUCACACAAGCGGAUACCCUCUAUCAGUACACUCCUAAUCACCUCCGUAUCCUCCGGAAUCACACCCAACAAUGCCAACCCCAGCAUUUCCUUGCACAUCCAGCACCGACAUCAUAUCUGCAUCGCGCUAGCUAGUAAUGUUAGGAGUUGUUACCAGAACAGCCACCUUUGCCUAAUGAGUCCUACAUUGGAAGUUGUGGUGAUUUUUCCAACACCACCUUUUCCGGAUGUUAUAACGAAAACUCUUGGGGCUUCGCCGGCUAGUUCAGGCUUUCUGUUCCUUUGUAGGACUGAUUGGAUUGAGGGCUAGUUCAGGCUUUCUGUUCCAUUGCAGGACUGAUUGGAUUGAGGGGUUUGAGUGAGGUUUGAAGGGCUUUGUUAGCGUUUGGGUUUUGGGUUUGAAUGGGGUUAGGGAAUGGAGGAAAGAAAGGCUUUGUGGUUGUGGGUAAGGGUUUUAGUGUCAGCAUUGUUUGCUAAGUGUAUGUGUUUUUGUCUCUGAGCAAGUGAGAAUAAGAGAGGACGGUUGGUUUUGGAGUUGAGACUUGAGAUUGAUCUAAAAAAAAAGUAAAAUUAAAUUUUAAUUUUUUAAAAUAUAAAAACAAACGGUGUCCUAUCCAAUUAGGAAACAAAGGAGCAAGUAGAUUCAGCCUUUUGGGGUUAAUUUAGUUUCACAUCCUUGAACUUUUAUGUUUUUUCUAAUGCGUCACUCUGUAGAAUAAUUGUUUUAAUAUAACCCUCCUCCUAAACCUAUACCCUUUGAUACUUAAUCGGGCCCUUCUGUCCAAUUUUAGGCAUUUAAUGUACAUUAUUAGGUGAGAGAAAUAGUCAUGUUAACUUUUAACCAUGUAAAACCGGAACCAAGAUAGGAAUAAAAAGAGUCAAUUCAAUUUUUUUAAACAUCAAAACAAUAUAGUUUUGAUUAAAAACUUUUUUUUUUCAAAACAAAAUUACUUAGUUGAGAGCUAAUUUUAAUUAGGUUUUACAUUAUGUCAAUCAAAUAGCAAGUCAAUGUGAGUUUUCGACUAGAUCAAGUUGAGUUAUUCUAAUUUUUUUUUAAUCCUAACUAGUUUAGGCUUCUAAUCAAUUAAGUUUCUAGUUAUCUUGUCGACCGCGUCUAGGUUUUAGAACUAUGCUCUUAACAUAUGAUAUUGAAUACAAGUAAUUGAUUGAGUUAUGGAAGUUAGGAUUGAGGAGGGUUUCAUUAUGAAAAUUAAUUGAUGGAGGGUCAUAUAAAAAGAACAGAAAGAAGGGAAACACAAGCUAAUUAAUUUGAGAUUGGGAAAUUGUACAAGUUGUGGGAUUUUUUUUGGUUAAGUAGAUGAUGAGUUCCAUGUGUGAAGCUUAAGCACAGUUAUUUUGGGUCUAUCUGGGUGGUGUGUAGGUGAACUUUAUUCCUCAAGUCUCCACAGCUCGAGAGCAAGAAUAAUGCCAAACUUGUGUAGCAUUUGAUUUCAAGUGUUUAUUGCUUGUUUUUACAACUUCAUAAUGUUCAUAGUGCUAAGGCUUGAGCUCAAUUGUUCAUUGGAAGUUAAGCCCAAUAUAAAGGUAAGGCCAUGAGUUAAAGAGUCGAUAUCGAGUUUGCUCAAUUUUGUAUUAAAAAAAUUAUCUUAAUUUAUUUUUUAAAAUUAAACUAGAGAGCAAAAUUAGACUGUUCAAAUCAAUUUUACUUUUAUUGAAAUUGUAUAAUUUCAAAUAGGUCCAACAUAAAGUUUGACUCUUUAAAAUUUUGUAUGUUAGAAAACAAAUGGGUUGUUUUGUUCAAUUUGAAUAUAUAUAUAUAGUCUUAUCUUUUUUUAGUUUGUUUAUUAAUUUUUGGUUUUUUAUUUUCAAAAUCUAAAAAUGAACAAAAUUAUUUUUAAAUUAGUUUUCUUGGUUGGAAUUCUCUGAUUGAUUAUCUCAGUUAAUUUUAGAUUAAUUUUUAUGAAUGUUCUAAAUAAUUUGAUUAUAUUUCUCACCCUCACAUUGAAUUAAUAAUGCAAUAAUAACAACCAUCUAGGUGGUAGUUCAGUGGUAAGAGCUUGGAACCAAGAGGUUUGCUCCUUCUGUGAUCUCAGGUUCGAGCCCUGUGGUUGCUCAUAUGAUGACAUUAGUGCAAUUAGGAGAACAAUGGUUUCUCUUGUAUCCUUUAAUUUUUGUUAUUUCAUAAAGUUUAAUGAAAACUAUUUUUUUAACAAUAUAAAAAAUAUAUAAUAAAAAAAUCAAGUUCGAUUAAAAACCCACCAAAUCUAUAAACUGAGAUAACAUGUGUUGUCUCGAUAAACCCGCAAACUAUACUAACCUCAUGAUAGAAAAAAUAAAAGGAAAAAAAAUUAUAAAAUUAAAUUUUCAACCAUCUCAAUAUUAAAAAAUAAAAUCAACAAAAAUAUUUUAAAAAAAAACAAAAAAUAUGAAAAAAAAACCAUAUAUAUAAAAAAACCAACGUAAAAAAACAUUGUAACAGUACAAUACUUUUCCCAUGUCCUUUAGGUUUUCUUUGUAAUAAUGGGUGACUCUGUACAUUUACUUGUAUAAAAGCAAAGGGACCCUCGCAGGUCCAUGUGUUUCAUGUUUGAAAGUAAGUUACCAAAGACUGCCGACACCCUUGAAAAGAUGCUUUCUUUAUUGUUACAUUUUUUCAAGAGAUUAUCAGUUAUAGGAUGUUAAAAAUAUUUUUUAUAAAAUAAAAAAAUAUAUCAUUUUAAUUUACUUUGAACUAAAAAAGAUAUUUUAAAAAAUAAUUACUCCUCUUCUCCUAGUUCAUACAAUUUUGGAUGGCACAUGCAUUCAAUCAUCGAAUCCAAAUGAUAACUUGGAAGAUGCUGGCAUGUGUUAUAUGCGCGAGUUGAUCUCAAGAUGUUUCUUCCAAGAUUAUGAUGAUUUACCUUUUUUUCUCAAGCUUUAAAAUGCGCGAUCUUGCAUUAUCAUUGGCUCAAAAUAAGUGUUCUUGACUCCAUUUCAUUUUUUCAUCAAACUAAUCCAAAGUCCCCAAAUGAGUUCGAGCAUGUGUGGUCAAUAUUCCAUGGGAGAAGCUACAACACAAUUGCACUACUUGUAAAUUUAUUCCUUUUGACUUUUCAUCCCUUAAUUUUAUGAUCAAGAAGACUCAAUGACUUCUCCUCUCCACUCAGAAAGCGGAACUCCACUCUUAUCUCAAUCAUUUCUUCCUAUCAAACACUUCUCCCCUCACUCAUAAAGAAAAUGGCAGAUGCUUUUACAGCCGAGAUUGCAAAAUCCCUUCUAGGGAAAUUAGGCUCCUUUUCUGUUCAAGAAUUUUGUUUGGCAUGGGGACUUGAAGCUGACGUUGCUCGUCUUGAAAAGAGAUUGUCAGCCAUCACCGCAGUGCUGUCCGAUGCUGAGCAGAAACAAUCAAAGAAUGACAAGAUUCGGUUCUGGCUCAACGAUCUCAGAGAAGUCUUGUAUGAUGCCGAGGACGUGCUGGACGAAAUCGAGUGCGAAACUUUGCGAAGGCAGUUGGUGAAAACAACAGGGAGCACCAGCAGAAAGGUACGGCGCUUCUUUUCAAGCUCUAAUAAGAUUGCAUUCCGUUUAAGAAUGGGUCAUAAGAUAAAGAGCAUCAUAGAAAGACUAACUGAGAUUUCAUCUCUUGAGUCUGAGUUCCACCUCAGCGAGGAGGCUAUUGAUCGUAGCCAUGUCUUGCAUGAGGAAACAGAGAUGAACCGAUCCUUUGAGAGCUUUUCCGGUCUUAUCGGAAGAGAUGAAGACAAAGAACGCAUCAUCAACCUUUUAGUAGCACCUUUUAAGGUUGUUGAUGCACAUCCCCUUGUCCUUCCGAUUGUAGGAAUGGGAGGCUUGGGGAAGACAUCUCUUGCCAAAUCGGUGUGUGAUGCUGAAAAUGUAAAAAGUCAUUUUGAACUGAAGAUGGGGGCAUGUGUUUCAGAUGAUUUUUCCUUGAAACAAGUGAUACAAAAAAUUAUUAAAUCUGCAACUGGGGAAAGAUGUGCGGAUUUGAAUGAGGGUGAGCUUAAUAAAAAACUUGAAGAUAUUAUGAAGGGUAAGAAAUACCUGCUUCUUUUGGAUGAUGUAUGGAAUGAAGAUGCUCAAAAAUGGUUGUUGUUGAAGCCUUUGUUAUCAAAAGGUGCUGAUGGAAGUAAGAUUAUAGUGACUACCCGUAGUCAACGUGUUGCUGAGAUUAUGGGUACUGUUGCUGCGUACAACCUAAGUCUUCUCGGUCAAGAGGACUGUCUGUCGUUGUUUUACAAGUGUGCAUUCAAGGAAGGGAAAAUGGAGUUGAAUCCAAAUUUGGUUGGAAUUCGGAAAGAAAUAGUGGAGAAAUGCAAGCAAGUUUCUCUGGCAGUGAUUAAUUAACUUGGGGACUCAACUGUAUGGUAGGACUGAUGAAAAAGAGUGGGAAUCGGUGAGAGAUAGUGAGAAGUGGGAAGAAGAGGGAGAUGGCAUUUUACCUGCCUUGAAAAUAAGUUAUCAAAGACUGCCGACACACCUGAAAAGAUGCUUUCUUUAUUGCUCCGUUUUCCCAAAAGAUUACCCAUUCUUUGAUAUCUCAUUGGUGCAUUUUUGGAUGGCACAGGGCUCAUUCUCCCAUCAUCAAAUCCAAAUGAGAAAUUGGAAGAUGUUGGCUUGCGUUAUGUGCGCCAGUUGAUCUCAAGAUGUUUCUUCCAAGAUUAUGAGGAUAUGAUUGUUGGAGCUAACUUUAAGAUGCAUGAUUUAAUGCAUGAUCUUGCAUCAUCAUUGGCUCAAAAUGAGUUUUCAAUCAUAAGCUCUUAAAACCAUUAAAUUUCCAAAACGACCCGUCAUUUGUCAGUUCUUGUCUCUGAUUUAUUUUUUCAUAAAACUCUUCCCAACUUCCAUCAAGUGCGGUCAAUAAUUUAAAUUUAUUUGAACUUAAAACAUCAUUAUUAAAUUUUAUAUUUGUCUAAUUUUAUCUUUAGGUUUAAUGUGAGGAUCCUUCGGCUAAGAUCUUUUACAACAGUUUAUCACUUACGAAAAUCAGCUUAAUGCUCGGAGUGUCUGCUGUGUGUGAUGAUUUGUCAUUGAUAAAUUGAUAAACAUUUGGUUUUUUUAAAUUAUUGGCUUGCCUCUUUAUCUUAUUUAAAAUAUUGUGUGUGAUGAUUUAAAUAAUUAUGCUUAACAAAUAAAAUAUUGCGUGUCAUAUAAUUCUACUUGUUUUGUCCAUGGCCCAAACACUACUAGGCUCAUGUCUUAUUUAAAGUUUAUAAUUUUUUUUAUUUUUUUGGGUUGCGGUAUAACUUAUUUUUUAUUAAAUUUUAAUUUUUUUAAAAUUUUAAUAUAUUUAUGCAAAAAUAUCUAACACACUCCAAAACCAUUCCUUAAUCCCAUUUUUACAAACACUACUGGGCUAAUGACUUAUUAAAAGUUUAUAAUUUUUUAGAUUUUUUUCUUUUUCUGUUAAACCCAUUUUUCAUCCAUUUUAAAAAUUUCUCCAGUACACACCUUCCUUCGCUAUUCUUGCGCAAUCUCCACCGUCGGUAAAAACCUCCCCUCUCUCUUUCUCUAAGCUAAUUACUUAACCAUGUUUUAAUCAUUUUCACUUUUGCUGACAGAUUGCAUGAACCGUCGCGGAUUAAAAAUUCUCUCUCAGAACCCAUCAGUAAACUCUGAUUCUAACUAUCAGAAAUCACUCGAAGUAAAUGAAGUUACUUUUAUUAUUAUUAUUUUUAAUUUAUGUGUUAAUUUGUGAUUUAGUGAAUAAGUUAAAGUUUUGAUUUUGAGUGAAUUUAAUUAAUUAAAUCGGCAAAGAGGGUAUUGAAAUCAUGUAGAAAAUGAAGGAUUUUAUGUGAAAGCUAGGCAAUUUUUUUUUAUUUGCUUGUGCACGUUUGUGUAUUUUCAAUUUUGAAGAAUUUAUGUCUGUUUCGUAGGCUAAUUUUUUGGAUUAGGUAUAAUGUAGGCAGUUCCUAGUAGUUUCAACGAUGUAAAAUAAGUUCUUGAAAUUAAGCAAUUUGGGUUGAUGUUUAACGGAGAUUUGUGUUUCGGUUCUGUAUUUUCUUUGUUUUUCUUUUCUUAGAUGUUGAAGGUGAAAAUGUUUUGUUGAAUUAUGGAAUUUUUUUUUAUGUAAAUGACAGCUGCUUCGUCAAUUGCCCAGCUGAUGUUUAACGGGCAUCUUGCAAUGUUGAGAGAUUGUCAAGCAGUAGCAGUCAAGGUUGGUUGGUGCGGUGUCAGUCUAAGUUAGUCAACUUAUUAUUAUGGGCUGGGUUUUGUUAUAGCAACAAGAUGAUAUUUGUGAAUAAAUUAGGAAGUUUAAGAGUGUUUUGAACUGUUGAUGAUGCAAUGCAUUUAGGCUAUCGAUCCUUUCAUAACUUGUUUCAAAUUUUAUGUAUCUAUGUUGUUGAAUCUUUGCUUACCUUCCAAUAUUAUAGCUGCAUGUGACUGAAUGCCGGGAUUCUUCCUCUAUCUUUCCUGUAUCUGUUUUUAUUUCGCUUCGGAAAAGUAAACUUUUUGCCAUACAGUUUUAUAUUAGAUAUGAUAUUUCAGUGAUUUGAUUCUUUCAAUAAAGUCGACGAUUGCAUUAGGAGAAUCUCUGUGAUAUUCUCUGAUGAAUGUGAAACAUCCCCUUUCCAUACCUUCUUUAUAUAUGUUAGAAAAUUUUCUAGUUUUUAGAAACUUCAUGGAUGCUUGUGCUAGAUGACUUGAUAUAUUUCUGUUUCUUAUAUUUCUAUGUACAUAUUAUUAAAAUAAUUCUCAAAUUAAUCUCCCAUUGAAGUUAACCUAACUCUAAUUACAUCUUCAUUCUUCGGACAAUUAACGGAACUUAUCCUUGCAAACCAAGAGAGAAGGGAGGACUCAAGUUUGAUGGAUUCAUAAUGCCAAAGUAAACUUAGAACUCAACAUUUUGUCAUAAAAAUAGGGUUUUAGAUCUCUGUUAUAUUUAUCUACUCUACCUGAGGCAAGCAACACUCUUGCAAAUCGCUCUCCUCCUUGAACCUAUUGAACUCAGUUCUUUGAAAGCUUAUGCAGACAAUUGCUUCCUCCAGUAACCUUUUCUCAUUUUUUUCUGAUUUGUCAUUCUUAAAUCAAAUGUUCUUCUUGAAAUUUUCAGUCAUUGAGUUAGCCUUGUCUAUAAUGCAAAACUAAACAUGCAUGCUGUUUUUGCUACUGAGAGUUUAAAAACAUAAUUAAAUCUGUAUCUAAUCAGGUUGUGAUUGAAUGCCAACUGAAGUUUGAUUUUGUCCAUGAUUUUAUUCCUCUCCCCGACACAAUUAAAAUGAUAGGGUUAGGGUUAGGGUGCAGCUAUGCACAAAGCAUCAAUCCUCGUUUCGUUUCAACUUUCCAUUAUAUUUUCUAAUUUGCUCAAAAUCAAUCAUACUCCUCAAAUGGUUCCUCCCAUCUGCACAUUUCAUUUCUAUGACCAUAUAUGAUACAUUCAUUCCCUCAAUCUUUUCUUCGUGUUUUCACAAUAACCAAAAAUUAAUUAACAAUACAUCAUCACUAUAUGAUCUUCAGAAGGACAUGAUCAUCUCAGAUUCUGAGAGAGAGAUCACUUGCUUUUCUACAAAGGUUGUUUAUGCUAUUGUGCUUACUGCUUAGGAAGUUCCAAGUAAGGGAUAGAUUCUCAGGAAGAUUGUUUCCAAAGUAAGAGACAAAUGAAAGAAUAAGGGAAUGUCAUGAACAAAAAUUGCAGGCGUUUGUUUCGCCUUUACAUGCAUACUCAUAGCUAGAAAUCAAGAGGUUAAUUUGCCAUUCUGCAAACAUAACUUCACUUGCAUCUUAAUCAUUUUUCCUAUCAACCAAUUCUCCUCUCUCCACUCAAAAAGAAAAUGUCAGGAGCUUUAGCAUCCAGCAUUGCACAAUCCCUUCUAGGGAAGCUAGGCUCAUUUGCUGGUCAAGAAUUUUGUUUGGCAUGGGGACUUGAAGCUGACAUUGCUCGUCUUGAAAAGAGAUUGUCAGCCAUCACCGCAGUGCUGUCCGAUGCUGAGCAGAAACAAUCAAAGAAUGACAAGAUUCGGUUCUGGCUCAACGAUCUCAGAGAAGUCUUGUAUGAUGCCGAGGACGUGCUGGAUGAAAUCGAGUGCGAAACUUUGCGAAGGCAGGUGGUGAAAACAACAGGGAGCACCAGCAGAAAGGUACGGCGCUUCUUUUCAAGCUCUAAUAAGAUUGCAUUCCGUUUAAGAAUGGGUCAUAAGAUAAAGAGCAUCACAGAAAGACUAGCUACGAUUUCAGCUCUUAAGUCUGAGUUCAACCUCAGCGAGCAGCCUAUUGAUUGUGGUCAUGUUUUGCAAGAGGAAACAGAGAUGAACCGAUCCUUUGAGAGCUUUUCCGGUCUUAUCGGAAGAGAUGAAGACAAAGAAUGCCUCAUUAACCUUUUAGCAGAACCUUUUAAGGUAGGUGAUGCACAUCCUUAUGUCCUUCCGAUAGUAGGAAUGGGAGGCUUGGGGAAGACAUCUCUUGCCAAAUCGGUGUAUGAUGCUGAAAAUGUAAAAAGUCAUUUUGAUCUGAAGAUGGAGGUGUGUGUUUCAGAUGAUUUUUCCUUGAAACAAGUGAUACAAAAGAUUAUUAAAUCUGCAACUGGGGAAGGAUGUGUGGAUUCGGAUGAGCGUGAACUUAAAAAAAAACUUGGAGCGAUUCUGAAUGGUAGGAAAUACUUGCUUCUUUUGGAUGAUGUUUGGAAUGAAGAUGCUCAAAAAUGGAUGUUGUUGAAGCCUUUGUUAUCGAAAGGUGCUGCUGGAAGCAAGAUUAUAGUAACUACCCGUAGUCAACGUGUUGCUGAGAUUAUGGGUACUGUUACUGCAUACAACCCAAGUCUUCUAGGUCAAGAGGACUGUCUGUCGUUGUUUUGCAAGUGUGCAUUCAAGGAAGGGGAAAAGGAGUUGUAUCCAAAUUUGGUUGGAAUUGGGAAAGAAAUAUUGGCAAAAUGCAAGCAAGUUCCUUUGGCAGUGAUUAACUUGGGGACUCAACUGUAUGGUAAAACUGAUGAAACAGAGUGGAAAUCGGUGAGAGAUAGUGGGAAGUGGGAAGAAGAGGGAGAUGGCAUUUUACCUGCCUUGAAAAUAAGCUAUCAAAGACUGCCGACUCCCUUGAAAAGAUGCUUUCUUUAUUGUUCGGUUUUUCCAAAAGAUCACCCGUUCCUAGAUAUCUUAUUGGUGCAAUUUUGGAUGGCACAUGGGCUCAUUCUUCAAUCAUCAAAUCCAAAUGAGAACUUGGAAGAUGUUGGCUUGCGUUAUGUGCGCGAGUUGAUCUCAAGAUGUUUCUUCCAAGAUUAUGAGGAUAAGAUGUUUGGAGCUACCUUUAAGAUGCAUGAUUUAAUGCAUGAUCUUGCAUCAUCAUUGGCUCAAAAUGAGUUUUCAAUCAUAAGCUCUCAAAACCACCAAAUUUCCAAAACGACCCGUCAUUUAUCAGUUCUUGACUCUGAUUCAUUUUUUCAUAAAACUCUCCCCAAGUUUCCAAACAACUUCCAUCAAGUGCGGUCACUAGUCUUUGCAGAUAGUAUAGUGGGGCCUACAUGCAAAACAGACUUUGAGAAAUGUUUGUUAGAAUUUAAGCAUUUGCGGUCUUUGGAAUUAAUGGAUGAUUUUGAAUUUGAGACUUUUCCGGAGAGGAUUGGCGCCUUGAAACAUUUGAGAUAUCUCGGUUUUGGCUGGAACACAGAAAUGGAAAGACUCCCAAAAUCUCUUUUCAAAUUACAAAAUUUGCAAGCUCUGGUUACACCAGGUGAAGGAUUAGAAGAGCUGCCCAAAGAUGUAAGGUACUUGAUCAGCCUUAGGUUUUUACUUCUAGUUACUAAGCAGAAGCGGUUGCCAGAAGGUGGGAUUGGGUGCUUGAAAUUUCUUCGAACUUUACUCAUUGUUCGGUGUGAAAAUCUUGAAAAUUUGUGCGAAGAUAUGCAAGGUCUUAGAAGUCUUCGGAAAUUGGUUAUUUAUGAAUGUAAUAGCUUGAUUUCUCUGCCACUAAGCAUAAAAUGCCUAACUACUCUAGAAGAAUUUUGUAUUAAUGGCUGUGAAAAGCUUGAUUUGAUGACAAUAGAAGAAAAGGAGGAAAAAGUUCAACCUCUUUCUCUUUCUCUUCGUAUUGUAAUAUUUGAAGAGUUACCAACAACUUUUGCUUUACCAGAACAACUUCUUCAAGGAUCUGCAGAAUCCUUACAAACAUUCAUCAUCAUAGAGUGUUCAAACAUUAGAGAAAUGCCAGAUUGCAUCGGCAAUUUAAAGAAACUUCAAAAUCUUGAGAUCAGUGAUUGUCCAAGUUUGAGCAAAAGGUGCCGAAGGGGAACAGGAGAAGAUUGGCCCAAGAUCAAACAUAUCCCUAAAAUCGAGGUUGACAGUGAUGACAGUGAUGAGGAGAAUACAGGUAGCAGCAGCAAACCAUAUUUAAAUCUAUCAUAUUUAGUUUUACAUUUUUAUCCAUUCUUCAAAUAUUCCUUUUUUCGUUUAAAUUAUUUUCCCUGAAAACAAUAUUAGCUUUGAAAAAAAAAAACUGACAAAACCUCUUGUGUUUUGGAGAGGCAGGUUCAAGUGGAACUCCAUCAGCAAGAGAAGAAGACAAGGUAUGUCAUGAUAAAAUGCAAAAAGUUGACUAAUUCAUUCAGCAAUUUAAAUUUCUUUGAACUUAAUACAUCAUUUUUAAAUUCUAUGUUUGUCUAAUUUUUUUCAGCUUUCAUUGGGGUUUCUGCUGACGGUUAUAAUACGGGGACUUCAAUUUUUUCGGUGUUGUUGCUGACAAUCUAGUUUGUUCAAAUAAAGAUGAAGAGUGUUUAAUUUGCUGGAGAUUAAUAUUCGUUCUCUGUGUGCUUUGCUCGUAGUUCCUGCUGGUGAUGUACUUGGCUUUUCAUUUGUUCAUAAUGGUUGCCAAUCAGUUCAUUUGCUGGUCAUGGAAUUUGCUCCCUCGUUGUUGAACUUAAUACAUCGUUGCUGGUGAUGUGAGGGUCCUGUCGGCCAAGAUCUUCUAUGACAGUUAGUCUCUUGGUUAUUGGAGGAUGUGAUAGCUUGAUUUCUUUGCCACGAAGCAUAAAAUACCUAACUACUUUGGAAGAAUUUUAUAUUAUUGAUUGUGAAAAGCUUGAUUUGAUGAUAAUAAAAGAAAAAAAUCAACCUCCUUCCCUUCCUCUUCGUAUUGUAAUAUUUAGAAACUUACUAGCCACUCUUGCCAUACCAGAACAGCUUCUUCGAGGAUCUACAGAAUCCUUACAAACAUUUAUCAUUACGGACUGUCCAAACAUUGAAAAAAUGCCAGAGUGCAUCGGCAAUUUAAAGAAACUUCAAAAACUUGAGAUCACUCGUUGUCCAAGGUUGAGCAAAAGGUGCCAAGAGGGAAAAGGAGAAGAUUGGCAUAAGAUCAAACAUAUCUCUAAAAUCGUGUUAAAGGAAAGAUGAUUAUACGAUGUAAUUGAGAGUGAUCAUAGCUUCUAUAAUUGUCAAUCCUUUUAUUCUGUGUAAUUAUAGUAUGUAACCGUUAUUAGCUUAGCUGUAGGAUCUGCUGUUAAUAUCAGCUUGUUUAUAGGAAUUGCUUUCCUAUAAUAGCAUGUAGGUUCUGUAUAAAUCCUCACCUUGUAUACUGUUACAACACAUCAAUGAAAUAUACAUAUUCUCAAUUUAUUAUGGUAUCAGAGCACCGAUCUUGGUGACUCCUCCACCCUUCCGCAACCAUAUACACCAUAGAUAUUUCACAAACACCAUGACAGAACAGAGCAAUAACACCAAACCAGAUGGGAAUCCCGUGGAAAUCACAGACCCAUAUGCCAUACACAGUUCAGAUCAUACUGGACUCAUCCUGGCAACCAAACCACUUGAUGGAGAUAACUAUGGGCAAUGGAGCCGUGCCAUGUACAUGGGUCUCAGCGCAAGAAACAAGAUUGGAUUCAUUGAUGGGACCAUUAAAGCACCACCAAUACAGGAUCCGAAAUAUGCAGGCUGGAAAAGAUGCAACGAUAUGGUGACACUGUGGAUCAUAAACUCAGUUCACUCAGACAUUGCGAGCAGCAUUAUGUACACUGAAUCUGCUGAUGCAGUUUGGAACGACCUCAAGGAGAGAUUCUCACAAAGCAGCGACUCAAGGAUCUACCAGAUUCGACAAGAGAUUGUUGAAAAUCGUCAAGGGCAGCUCUCGGUGUCUUCUUAUUAUACCAAGAUGAAAGCCUUGUGGGACGAAUUAGCAUCAUACCAUGACCCACUCAUCUGCACUUGCGCAGGUUUAAAGGGACUGGCUGAAAGAGAUGAAAAGGAAAGAGUCAUGCAGUUCUUGAUGGGAUUAAAUGAAUCCUACUCAGCAAUACGAGGCUCGAUUCUGAUGAUGAGCCCACUCCCUGAUACACGGCGAGUCCAUGGUCUCAUUCUUCAACAUGAGAGGCAGAUGGACGUUGCCAACCGUCGAGACAUGGGAACGACACCACAUGCAAUGCAGGUACAACGAAAUCCAAUGCCACCAUCAUUCAACAGGAAGCCCUUCUACACACCAUCACGAAAACCACUUAAAUGUACCCACUGUGACGGAGAGGGACACUUAGUGGACCGAUGCUACUAUAUUAUUGGGUUCCCAGAAGGGCACAAAUGGCAUGGCAAACACGUGAAACCCAAGAAUAAGAGAUUCACAAUCAACAAUGUCAAGGCUAGCAGUUCUGCUGCAACCGAGAAACCUCACAUUUCUGAAGGUCCCAUGUUCACUACAGAGGAGUAUAAUCAAAUCAUUGCUAUGCUACGUAAUGGUAAUACACAAUCAAUUGAAAAUGCAACAGGUAUUUUUUCGCCCACAUGCAAUAUAGCACAAACAAGCCCGCAUUCAACUCUAUACUGGAUAGUUGACAGCGGAGCAACCGACCACAUAUCACACUCUCCACCAACACAUAACAUCCUUGAUGUUCAGUGUGACUCUGUUGGUUUGCCCGAUGGGGGGCAAGCAAAAAUAAAGAAUAUUGGCUCUAUAAAAUUAUCACAUGAACUAUCCCUUGAUAAAGUUCUUUAUGUACCAAAGUUUCGUGUCAAUUUAUUAUCCGUUAGCAAAUUGACAAGAGCUUUGCGAUGUAUAGUGAUAUUUUAUCCGAAUUUUUGUAUUGUGCAGGACAUGGAUACGAGGAGGACGAUUGGCCUGGGCAAGCAUUUUGAUGGGCUCUACUAUCUCACCCCAAAACAUAAUCCUCACCUCGCUAAUCAUAUCCACCGUACCUCUAGUCUUUGGCAUCAGCGUCUUGGACACCCAUCAGCCGCACCUUUACUUUCAUUAGCCAAACAUAAUGUUGAAAUAAUGUUUGAUUCAAAACACGUUUGUGAAGUUUGCCCUUUGGCAAAACAAACUCGUUUACCCUUUUCUCAUAGUGAAAUCAAAUCUUCUGCACCAUUCGAUUUAAUUCAUUGUGAUAUAUGGGGCCCCCAUAGAAAUCCAACACACACUGGGGCACGAUAUUUUCUCACUAUUGUAGAUGAUUUCACUCGUUUUACUUGGGUACAUCUUAUGAGUUUCAAAUCUGACACACAAACAAUUUUAAAAUCUUUUUUUUCUUGGGUCAAAACACAAUUUCAACAUGACAUUAAAACUCUUCGUGCGGACAAUGGUGGUGAAUUCCUCUCCAUUCGUCCUUUCCUAGACUCAUGUGGUACCCUUUUCCAACACUCUUGUCCAUACACUCCACAACAGAACGGGGUAGUUGAACGUAAACAUAGACACCUUUUGAAUGUUAGCCGUGCCCUUAAGUUCCAAGCCAAUUUACCCUUGAAAUUUUGGGGAGAAAGCCUCCAAACAGCCUGCUAUCUUAUCAACCGCCUACCUUCACCCCUCCUAUCUCAUAAAUCCCCAUAUGAACUCUUGCACAACACACCUCCCACCUACACACACUUGCGUGUUUUCGGAUGUCUUAGCUAUGCCACCAACCUCACACCUACCAAUAAGUUUGACGAACGUGCUCAUCGAUGUAUCUUUCUUGGUUAUCCUCUUGGUCAGAAAGGCUACAAAGUCUAUGAUCUAGCCUCACACAAAUUUUUUACAUCACGAGAUGUCAUCUUCCAUGAGCACAUCUUCCCUUAUGCCUCUUUAGCACCCGUGAACCACACUGACAUGGCCAUUACUCCCAACUCCAAUGACCACAUCAAUACCCAUGAAAUACUCCCUGCUCCACCCCCACAAGACAUCACCGAACCUUCCUCACCGGACCCACCUCCAUCACUCAACCUUGAGCCCGUCACUGACCUUCCCACCACAAUUGACACAAACCCACCUGUCAUACACGAUUCUCCCACAAUACCUCCAUCCUCUGUACCGACCCAUUCCCCCCCAAUUUCCCUUCGCCACUCUACCCGUCAUACUCGGCCACCUGCUCACUUCAAGGAUUAUGUGGCUCAUCAUUCUGUCUUGCUUCCACCCACAUCAACCUCCCCACAAUCUAUGUCCAGCACUCGCCAUCCACUGCAUCGGUAUGUCUCCUAUUCUUGCUUAUCCCCUGGUUAUCGCCGUUUUGUUUCUAACAUCUCCCAAAUAGUGGAGCCUACUACAUAUGCACAGGCUUGCCAGAAUCCCAAAUGGGUUGCAGCGAUGCAGGCUGAACUCACAGCCUUAGAAGCCAACCACACUUGGAGCCUUGUUCCCCUUCCACCGGGACAACGUCCCAUUGGCUGCAAAUGGGUCUUCAAGCUUAAGUAUCAUUCUGAUGGGACUCUUGAACGCUACAAGGCGCGCCUCGUUGCAAAAGGGUUCACUCAACGUGAGGGAAUCGAUUACAAGGAGACAUUUGCGCCAGUGGCUAAACUCCUUACCGUGCGCUGCCUGUUGACUAUAGCAGCUGUCCGCCAUUGGUCGUUACACCAAAUGGACGUCCAAAACGCCUUUCUCCAUGGUGCCCUUCAGGAGGAGGUCUAUAUGAUGCCUCCACCAGGUUGUCAUCGACAGGGGGAUAACAUUGUGUGUCGACUCCAUAAGUCAUUGUAUGGGCUUAAACAGGCAUCCAGAAGUUGGUUUCAAGAGUUCUCCUCAGCAAUACAAACUAUCGGGUUCUGCCAAUCUAAAGCAGAUUACUCCUUAUUCACCCAAGUCAAAGGUACAUCACUCACUAUUAUAUUGCUUUAUGUUGACGACAUGGUAAUUACAGGUAACAAUGAGGCAGAAAUCAAGAACCUGAAAGUCUUCCUUAGCAGCAAAUUUCGAAUUAAAGACCUCGGACCUUUGAAAUAUUUCCUAGGAGUCGAGGUCGCCCGAUCGAAAGCUGGAAUUACAAUUUGCCAAAGAAAAUAUACAUUGGACAUAUUGGAGGAAGCUGGGUUACUAGGUGCUAAGCCAAUGAAGGUCCCAAUGGAGGCUGAUUUGGUGCUAACACCCACAGGUAGCAGUUCACUCCAUGAACCGGCGAAGUAUCGACGCUUAGUCGGGAAAUUGAUCUACUUGACAAUCACAAGACCAGAAAUAGCGUACACUGUCAAUACGCUAAGUCAAUUCAUGCAAGAUCCACAACGACACCAUCUUGAUGCAGCGUAUCGACUUCUCCGAUACCUUAAAGGAGCUUCGGGUCAAGGUUUGAUGUUUUCCUCACAAAAUAAUUUACAUUUAAUUGGUUACUGUGAUGCAGAUUGGGCUCGUUGCCCCACCACACGCCGAUCCGUGACUGGUUAUUGUAUUUUCCUUGGAAAUUCAUUGGUGUCAUGGAAGAGCAAGAAACAGGUUACAGUAUCUCGCUCAUCCGCAGAAGCGGAGUAUCGAUCCAUGGCCGCAGUUACUUGUGAGUUAAGUUGGUUACGAUAUUUGUUGAAAGAUUUGCAUGUUGAUCAUCCCCAACCAGCAAGGUUGUUUUGUGACAACCAAGCUGCCUUACACAUAGCCGCAAAUCCUGUAUACCACGAACGCACAAAACACAUUGAGAUUGAUUGCCACACUGUUCGUGAGAAGAUUCAAAAGGGAGAAAUCAAAACUUCACAUGUCAGGACAGGGGAACAAGUUGCAGACUUAUUUACUAAACCACUGCGUGCACCCAUCUUCCAUACACAUCUAAGCAAGUUGAGCGUUAUUGACAUCCACACUCCAACUUGAGGAGGAGUGUUAAAGGAAAGAUGAUUAUACGAUGUAAUUGAGAGUGAUCAUAGCUUCUAUAAUUGUCAAUCCUUUUAUUCUGUGUAAUUAUAGUAUGUAACCGUUAUUAGCUUAGCUGUAGGAUCUGCUGUUAAUAUCAGCUUGUUUAUAGGAAUUGCUUUCCUAUAAUAGCAUGUAGGUUCUGUAUAAAUCCUCACCUUGUAUACUGUUACAACACAUCAAUGAAAUAUACAUAUUCUCAAUUUAGGUACUGUGCUUUCCUACAUAUGCACAGGUUGAUGAUGAUACCAGUGGUGAAGAAACAUCUCUUUAGGUACUGUUUACAAUGAUUUAAAUUUAUCAUAUUUAGUUUUACAUUUUUAUCCAUUCUUCAAUUCCUCUUUUUUUUUCGCUUAAAUUCUUUUCCCCGAAAACAAAAUGCAAUUGUUAUUUGACAAAAACCUUGUGUUUUCAAGGGGCAGGUUCAAGUGGAACUCCAUCAGAUUUAACCAGAGCAAAAGAACAAGACAAGGCAUGUCGUGGGUGUCAUGAUAAAAUGCAGAGUUGACUAAUUCAUUCAGCAAUUUAAAUUUCUUUGAACUUAAAACAUCAUUAUUAAAUUCUAUGUUUGUCUAAUUUCUUCAGGCUUUCUUCAGAUCAGCUAGUCACUUACGAAGAUCAACUUAAGGCUCGGAGUGUCUGCUUUGUGUAAUUUCCUUGGCUAGUUGUGUGUGAUGAUUUGUCAUUAAUAAAUUGAUAAACAUUUGGUUGUUCUGAAUUAAUGGCUUGCCUCUUUAUCAUAUUUGAAAUAUUGUGUGUAAUCAUUUCAAUAAUUAUGCUUAACAUAUAAAUUCGUCCUUCUACACAAACUAAAAAGCUGAAGUUGGGAGGAGAAGGAGCAAGCUACUUGUUUCUAAUAAUACAACAGUCAUCACGAAUUUCCAUCUUACUGCAAUGUCUCAUUCAUGAGUUUCAAAGAUCUUAACGAAGAGACAUCCAUUUCCGCACCCUUCAAGAACAUCUACCCUUUCUUUAUAUCUGAAUAAUGCAUGGGAACAUGCUGUUGCUCUAAUUAAACUCUAAAUUAAAGGUCUGCAUGACUAGCUAUCAUGCCGAGUAGAUUUUCUAUUCCAAAAAGAAAAUCACAGAAACUUCCCUUAGAGGCAGAAGUUUGCUGCUGCUACCUGCAUAUUGCAGCAUCCUGAUAUAUAGGUGUAGAGCCUGAAAGCUGCACUAUAAAUGUAAUCUGGUUCAGUCAUCGAUCGAGAAUCAGACUCCUUCCCUAACAAAUUCAUCUCUCCAAUACACGCCUUCCUUCGCUCUUCUUGCACAAUCUCCACCGUCGGUAAAAACCUCCCCUCGCUCUUUCUCUAAGCUAAUUACCUAACCAUGUUUUAAUCAUUUUCACUUUUGCUGACAGCUUGCAUCAACCGUCGCGGAUUACAAAUUCUCUCUUCAUAACCCACUGGUAAACUCUGAUUCCUACUAACAGAAAUUACCGUAGUUUUGAAACCCGAUCCGGCCUAGCGGGUUAAUCUGAAGCUGAAAUUGGACCGGCUUUAAAAAAAAUAGGAAAAGUAAAAAUUCAGGGUGACCCGACAACCCGGUAAGACCCAGUCAAAAACCCGGUUGUAACCCGUUGACUUUUUUUUAAAUCAAAACAACAUCAUUUUAAUUUUUUUAAAAAAAUUAACCCGGACGACCUGGUGACCCGAUCAAAACCCGGAACCCAGGUAUUGGACCUGGCCGAGUUUAAAAACUAUGGAAAUUACUCAAGGUAAAUGAAGUUAAUUUUAUUAUUAUUAUUUUUAAUUUAUGUGUUAAUUUGUGAUUUAGUGAAUAAAUUAAAGUUUUGAUUUUGACUGAAUCUAAUUAAUUAAAUCGGCAAAGAGGGUAUUGAAAUUAUGUAGAAAAUGAAGGAUUUUAUGUGAAAGCUGGGCAAUUAUUUUUUAUUUGCUUGUGCACGUUUGUUUAUUUUCGAUUUCGAAGAAUUUAUGUCUGUUUCGUAGGCUAAUUUUUUGGGUUAGGUAUAAUGAAGGCAGUUCCUAGUAGUUUCAACGAUAUAAAAUAAGUUCUUGAAAGCAAUUUGGGUUGAUGUUUAACGGAGAUUUAUGUUUCGGUUCUGUAUUUUCUUUGUUUUUCUUUUCUGAGAUGUUGAAGGUGAAAAUUUGUUGUUGAAUUAUGGAUUUUUUUUUUUAUGUAAAUGACAGCUGCUGCGUCGAUUGCCCAAGGGCAUCUUGCGAUGUUGAAAGAUCGUCAAGCAGUAGCAGUCAAGGUUGGUUGGUGCGGUGUCAGUUUUAGUUAGUCAAUUUAUUAUUAUGGUCUGGGUUUUGUAAUAGCAACAAGAUGAUUUUUGUGAAUUAAAUUAGGAAGUUUAAGAGAGUUUUGAACUGUUGAUGAUGCAAUGCAUUUAGGCUAUCGAUCCUUUCAUAACUUGUUUCAAAUUUUGUGUAUUUACGUUUGUUGAAUCUUUGCUUACCUUCCAAUAUUAUAUAGCUGCAUGUGACUGAAUGCCGGGAUUCUUCCUCUCUGUCUUUCCUUCAUCUGUUUUUAUUUCCCUUCCGAAAAGUAAACUUUUUGCCAUACAGUUUUAUAUUAGAUAUGUUGGAUCUUGCUUCCAAAUCCUAAUCUGCAUAGAAGAAGCUCGAUAUUUCAGUGAUUUGAUUCUUCCAAUAAAGUCGAUGAUUGCAUUAGGAGAAUCUCUAUGAUGUUCUCUGAUGAAUGUGAAACAUCCCCUUCCCAUACCUUCUUUAUAUAUGUUCGAAAAUUUUCUUGUUUUCAGAACUUCAUGGAUGCUUGUGAUAGAUGUACUUGAAAGUAACAUGCUUAUUUUUUUCUGCAUGUAGGUGCAGCACUACCCUGGGUUAGAAAUCCAGAUGAAGAUCGACAUAGCCAUUAUGUCACUUAUCCCAAAAUCUGUUGCAUGAGUAAGUGAUAACAUUAUCUUAACAAUUUUAAUUAUUUCUCUAUUGCAUUCUGUUGGCACCAUCUUUUUGUGAAGUUAGUUUGUGGAUGGUAAAUCACAUGAUUAUGCACAGAAAGAAGAACUAAUGCUGAUAAAAUUGCAGUAUAUGUUCUAGCCCUCUGACGUAAAAACCCUACAAAGGGAUGUUCUUUUUAGGAUAUGAUAACAUUCAACAGGUUUUGAAGAAUACAUGCGUCUUCUUUUUCUCAUUGGACAACAAUUUAUUCUCCUGAUUGUUUUUGUGCAUAUCUCAUGUGUUCCCUUUCUAAUUAAAUUGCCUUCUUUUGAUUUUGAUGAGUGAUCCACUGGCUUAGAGUUACGUUUUGCUCUUUUUGUCUUUCCACAACUUUUCCCUGAUUACAGAUUUAACUGGCUGAUAACAGAAUUCAGAGAGACUAUUUCUUCAGAACUUGGUCUGUGUAUUCCUUUGGUUAUUUUAUGUGUUCUUGAUCUCCUUGAUAGAUACAUGAAGAACUCGUGUAACUUCUUCAUUGCAUGCAUUCUCCAUAUUUCAAUUACUAUUAUUUCUUCAAGUGAUCAGAUACAUUGGAGAAAUUGCCAGCAACAAAGUGCAGAAGCGCAUGCAUUGUGAUGGGGGUGGCCAUUGAAGUCUUCUAAAUGAUGUAGAAUGGUACAGGGACUGGUGGUCUGGAGUCGUGUCAUUUUCUUGAUUCUCCGGUGCCUGUUUGAGAAGUUGCUACAGUAUAACACCAUCUAAGCAAUUCCAUAAUUAACCAGGGAACUGAGGUUUUAUGAUUCCUGGGUGUAUAAAAUUCUUACCUGACUGGGUUCUAACGAUAACUCUUAAUUCUCUCAUCACCACGCACCUGUUACUUGAAUUCCAUGCGCGACAGCACAUCCUCACAAAUAAUCGUUUUCUUUUUGCUCAUUUGCGUCCUUACUAAUUGUGCUUUUUAACAUUCCACAGCCCAUAAUCCCAUUUCAAGAUACCCGUAAAAAGACCAGAAGUGAAACUUGCUAUUAAGGAAAUAUUUUAGGACUAGUUCGGCCAUGGCCGAAAAACUACUAGCCCAUAGCCUAUUAAAACUCUUAAAAGUCCAUGAAUCCAAUAUCCCAGCAAAACCUUGAAGAACUCUCACCGUUACCUUUUUUAUACGGUUAUGUUACGUAGUAAAAAUAAUCAAAUAAAUUAAGAAUGUACUUAAUUUGUUAAACAACAUUUUCCCUUUUCAGCAGCUUGAAAUUUGGGUGGAAUUAUGGUUCCUUGAGAAGAGUAGUAAAAUUAAUGCUAUAAAUGAUUCAGAAAUGGAAGGACCAUAUAGAACCGUGUUCAUAAGAACUGGACUGUCAUAGUAGCAAGCGAGCUAAGACCGGUCCUCAAUUCCUAUAUAUAUAGAACUUCAAAGCAGUAUCUGCCUUAUUUGGCCCAUUGCACAGAAACAAAUAAGGAUUAAAUCGCAGCUGUAAUGCACUCUUAAAAGAAAUUGAUUUGUAGGCAAUAAGUAACUCACUACAAUACGAAAAAAACAACUGUUUGGUCUUCGCAAAAGUUAGGAAGUGCACCCAUAUUCUGCGAACCCAUCCGCAAACUAUUUUGAGUAAAAAAAAAUAAAAAGAUGAUUUUUUAAAGUGCACUGGCAAAGUGUAUUUAGGAAUUAUGUGAUUGUUUUUUAAAGUGUUUUUUAUUUAAAAAUAUUUUAAAAAAAUUUAUUUUUAACAUCAAUGCAUUAAAAUAAUCUAAAAAUUUCAAAACAAAAGUAUUAAUUCAAACACAUAUCAGAAAAUAAGGCAGUUUUUUUUUUCUGAUGUAGGGUAUUUUUAAAAAAACAAUUGAAAAUAUAUUUAAAUAAUAUUUUUAAAUAUUGUUUUUCUUUAUAUUUUCCCAUUAAAAUAUUUAUAAAAUACUAAAAAUAUUAUUUUGAUUUUUUUUUCAAAAAAUACUCAAAAUUUUGGAAAAACUAGUUGCAUUACUCUUAUCAACCAGGCUUUUUAUAAUUAUUUUCUUUCUCCAAAUUUUAUAUUCAAAACGAGUUAACUCGGUUGAUUCAGGUUUUUUUAAAUAUGUUAAAAUAAUAUUUUUAAAUACCCUUUUUUGUUAUAUUUACCAUUACAAUAUUUAUAAAAUAUUAAAUAUAUUGUUUUGAAUUGUUUUUUAAAAAAUAUUCAAAAUUUUGGAAAAACACUGCUCAAUUAUACUCAUUUCAAAAAAAUGAUGUUUUUUUAACUGAGUUGAUUCAGGUUUUUUUACUUAUUUUCUAUGAAAUUAUCUUAAUCUCCUAACUCAAGUAGCAAGUUUAAGAAGUUAAUUUAGGUUUAAUAUUCAUAAAUCCUAUUUUAUUGACAAAAGGCGUGAAGUUUUCUUUAAAUUAAUUAAUUAAAGAAAACAUAUUUUCAUAGAAGCAUGCACCCAGCAUGUGGUGGUGUCCACAUAGGGAAUAACAAUGGUCAAAUCCAACGGUAAAUACUCCAUCACCUAAAUAAAAAAAAAGUCUCUCUCCCCAGACAACUAGCAUCCCAAUCCCCACGUAGCCAAUUCAUAAUUCACAGCGACAAAUGCGUUUCAAAUGAUGUUUUAUUAAAAUUUAUUUUUUUUAUUUAAAAUUAUUUUUUUAUAUUAUAGAUGGAUCAAAUGGAUAUACAGAUAUACAGAUAUCUGUACAUUUAUAAAAGCAUAAGAGCAUGUUUGGUAUUAUAUAUAAAAAAAACUUUUUAUAUAAAAAUAAUAUUUUUUUAUUUUUUAAAAUUUAUUUUUGAUUAACAUAUUAAAAUGAUCUAAACUCUCCCCAAGUUUCCAAACAACUUCCAUCAAGUGCGGUCAAUAGUCUUUGCAGAUAGUAUAGUGGGGCCUACAUGCAAAACAGACUUUGAGAAAUGUUUGUUAGAAUUUAAGCAUUUGCGGUCUUUGAAAUUAAUGGACGAUUCUGGAUUUGAGGCUUUUCCGGAGAGGAUUGGCGCCUUGAAACAUUUGAGAUAUCUCCAUUUUUUGAACAACGCAAAAAUAAAAAGACUCCCAAAAUCUAUUUUCAAAUUGCAAAACUUGCAAGCUCUGGUUACAGGUGAAGGAUUAGAAGAGCUGCCCAAAGAUGUGAGGUACAUGAUCAGCCUUAGAUUUUUAUAUCUAGUUACUAAGCAGAAGCAGUUGCCAGAAGAAGGGAUUGGGUGUUUGGAGUGUCUUCAAACUUUAUUCAUUGCUGAUUGUGAAAAUCUAGAAAAUUUGUGCGAAGAUAUGCAAGGUCUUACAAGUCUUCGAAAAUUGGUUAUUGCUGGGUGUCCUCGCUUGAUUUCUCUGCCGAGUAGCAGAGAAAAAAAUUCAACCUCUUUCUCUUUCUCUUUGUAUUGUAAUAUUUGAAGAGUUACCAACAACUCUUGCUUUACCGGAACAGCUUCUUCAAGGAUCUGCAGAAUCCUUACAAACAUUAAUCAUCAGAGAUUGUUCAAACAUUAGAGAAAUGCCAGAUUGCAUCGGCAAUUUAAAGAAACUUCAAAAUCUUGAGAUCAGUGAUUGUCCAAGUUUGAGCAAAAAGUGUCGAAGGGGAACAGGAGAAGAUUGGCCCAAGAUCAAACAUAUCCCUAAAAUCGAGGUUGACGGUGAUGACAAUGAUGAAGAGACAUCUCAUGCAGGUAGCAGCAGCAAACCAUAUUUAAAUUUAUCAUAUUUAGUUUUACAUUUUUAUCCAUUCUUCAAUUUCUUUUUUCGUUUAAAUUAUUUUCCCUGAAAACAAUAUUAGCUUUGAAAAAAAAAAACUGACAAAAGCUCUUGUGUUUUGGAGAGGCAGGUUCAAGUGGAACUCCAUAAGCAAGAGAAGAAGACAAGGUAUGUCAUGAUAAAAUGCAAAGUUGACUAAUUCAUUCAGCAAUUUAAAUUUCUUUGAACUUAAUACAUCAUUAUUAAAUUCUAUGUUUGUCUAAUUUCUUCAGGUUUACUAAUGUGAGGGUCCUGUCGGCCAAGAUCUUCUACGACAGUUGGUCUCUUGCAAAGAUCAGCUGAAGGCUCGGAGUGUCUGCUUUGUGUAAUUUCCUUGGCUAGCUGUCUGUGAUAAUUUGUCAUUAAUAAAUUGAUAAACAUUUGGUUGUUCUGAAUUAUUUAAAUAAUUAUGCUAAUUGUUUCUGAUAAUACAACAGUCAUCAAGAAUCUCAAACUUACUGCAAUGUCUCAUUCAUGAGCUUCAAAGAUCUUAACGAAGAGACCUCCAAUAACAUAUUAAAAGUUUAUAAAUUUUUACACUCUGUAUUUCAUUAAAUUUUGAAAUUUCUUUGCUUAAAAUUAUUUAUUUUUUUAUUUUUUUAAUAUGUAACUUUUAAAAAUAAUUUUUAAAAAAUAAAAAAAAUAUUUUAAUAUAUUUUUAAAUAAAAAGACCUAACACCAUCUAAAACCACCCCUUGAUCCUAACUAAUUUUUGAAAAACAAACCUUCUAGCUUCCUUUAACCAGUAAAACCGAACUUUUAACUCUGGACUGGAUUGUGUAUUCAUUGAUAGUGUAUAUGGAUUUCUUUUAUAUAUAUAAAUCAAGUAUUCAACAUAUUCAUCCAAAUAUAAUAAUAAAAUCAACGAAUGUACACUUUUUGAAGACAUUUUCCCUACUUCGACAGGCUCAAUGAGAUUAUCGUUUCUAACUCUGGAGUGGAUUGUGUAUUCACUGAUAGUGUAUAUAGAUUUUUUUUAUAUAUAUAAAUCAAGUAUUCAACAUGAAUGUGCACUUUUUGAAGACAUAUUCCCUUAUAAAAGAUACAAGAAAUUCAUUCACAUACAAAAUCAAAGAAAAAUAGCUUAGGUGGUCUCAUCAAACUAUUGAUGAAAGAUCUAUACUCACCAUCUAAAAAUUCAUUCACUACUACUAGGUUAUAAAUAGAUCUUCAAGAGAAAAGUAAAAGCUAAUAGAACCAUCCAAAAAUACAAAGUAAGAUUUAUUGUAAAGGUUUCAAACAACAAAAAGAAAAAAAAAUUAUUUUGCUACAUAUUUAUCUAUGUUAAUAAUAAAUUUUAUAUGUACAUUAAUAGUUAUUACAAUUAUUAACAAGUUAGAAAUACAUCAAAUUUAUAAAAAAAAUAAUUUUUUUAAAUAACGAUUUUGACGGAGAGGUAUUUAUAAAACAAACUAAGAGGUUUGUUGUUAAAAAAAAAAGAUUUUAAACUUAUUAAGUUAUCUAGUUUGAAACAAAUUUUUAAAUAAUAGCAUGAAAAGUUUCACAAUGUUAUAUUUAAAAAAAUAUAUAUUUUAAGAAUUUUAAAAAAUAUUUUUUAAAAAUUUCAAGAAAACAAGAAAAAAAAUUACAAUAAAUGGAGGUCGAAAUUCAUUAAAUAAUUAAAAAUUCAAAAGCUAAAGAUGAAAUCGAAAAAAUAUAUCAAUAUUCAAGGACUAUAUAUAAUGCAAUCAGGGAUGAAAUUGAGAAAAAAUAAAGAAAGAAUGGUUGAAAUUUGCCAAAAAUGAAACAAUUAAACUUGGGGGACCUUUAAAAAAAUGAAAUUUUCCUUCGCAUCAAAAUAUUGUCAUUUUAAAUAAAAAAAAAAUUAAAUGCAACGGAGUCAUUCUGAUGCUUCACUUCACUACUAUUUGAUCGCUUUCCCUUGAUCCAAAUCUUUUAAGCAAAUCAUGGCUGGGAAGGCACCGAAAUCCUUUGACAGUGUGUCGUUAACGGUACUGCUACGCCGAGUAUUGUGUGUGAUCUCCUAGAUUUUUUGGUGACAGGAGGUCGUCUAAAUCUGGGUAAUGUAAGCGACAAGUCGCUUGUUAUUUUUUUUUCAAAGCAUUAAAAGUCACUCGCCCUUUAAGAAGUUCUUUUUCUAAACAAGGACAGACAGAAGCGGUAGCCAGAAGGUGGGAUUGGGUGCUUGAAAUUUCUUCGAACUUUACUGAUCUAUGAGUGUGAAAAUCUACAAAAGAUGCUUUCUUUGUUGUUCCAUUUUUUCAAAAGAUUACUACUUUUAUGAUGUCGUUUGAAUUGCGUAUGUGUUGAUGUAAAAUAAAUUUUAAAAAACAAAAAUAUUAUUUUAAUAUAUUUUUAAAUAAAAAAACUUUUUUAAAAAAUAAUUUUAGAUGUCACAUGUACUCAUUCAAUCAAAGUCCAAAUGACAGCUUGCGUUAGGCGCGCGCGUUGAUCUCAAAAUAUUUCUUUUUAAAUGCAUUGAAUAAUAAUCUCUCAAAACCCCCAAUUUUCCAAACUAUUAAAAUAUUUGUCUGUCCUUGAUUUCAAUAUUUUAUUUUUUCAUUAAACUCUUACAAAUGUUUUAUAUUAUUUUAUAUUUAAUUUUUAUUAAAUAAAUAAAAAUAAUCAUAUUAAAUUUUAUAAUCAAUUGGUCAACAAGACUCUAAUAACAUAUUAAAAAAUUAUCUUAAUCUAAUAAUUUAAACUAUUAAAUAAAAUAAAUAUAAUUUAUAUUAUUCUCUGCUAAUAAUUAACUCACUAUGUCACGGAAAAAAACAAUUGUUUGCUCUAUUAGGUCUUUGCAAAAGGUAUAGGGUUACCCAUAUUCUACGAAGUACGAACCCAUCCACAAACCAUUUUGAGUGAAAAAAUAAAAAAAUGCAGGUCCAAGCCGAAGUAGUGCACCGGCUAAGCUCCUUUAAUGAAAUGGCUGCAUUUAGUGCACUGGUAAAAGCACAUCAAUUCCACCGAAAAGAAAUUUUAAAAUUAAAAUAAAUUUCAAUGGUCAAAGAUAAGGCCUAAGGCUCCAUGCCAAAGACAAUAAUUCAAACACAUAUCAGAAAAUAAGGCAGUCUUUUUUUAAAUAUAUUAAAAUAAUAUUUUUAAAUACUGUUUCUUCUUUAUAUUUGCCAUUAAAAUAUUUAUAAAAUACUAAAAAUAUUGUUUUUAAUUUUUUUUCAAAAAAUAUUCAAAAUUUUGAAAAAUCAUGGUUCAAUUGCACUCCUCGACAGGGCUUAAAAAAUUUAUGCUUCUACUAUACAGUCUCAUAAUUUGUUUAUUACUUUUUUUUUUUAAAGUUAAUUCAAGUUUUUUUUAAUUGAUAUUUAUUCUUGAAAAGGACAUUAAAAUGAUCUAUAUAAAAACAUAAAAAUAGUUUAAGUAAUGAAAAAAAUUAAAAAAUUCAAAUUUUUUUAAUAAUACUUUUAAAAUAUAAAAACAAAUAAUCUCUAGAGUUGAUAUCCUCGUGUGGUUGGCCCAAAUAUAUGAUAGUGGUAGAGAUUUUCAGAUAGAAUUUGGAGCUGUAUAUGGUAAAAGCACAUCAAUUCCACCAAAAAAAACUUUUAAAAUUAAAAUAAAUUUCAAUGGUCAAAGAUAAGGGUACAUGCCAAAGACAAUAAUUCAAACACAUAUAGGAAAAUAAGGUAGUUUUUUAAAAAUAUAUAUUAAAAUAAUAUUUUUAAAUACUGUUUUUUCUUUAUAUUUGCCAUUAAAAUAUUUAUAAAAUAGUAAAAAUAUUGUUUUGAAUUUGAUGAUCUGUAGGUAUUUCACUCUUGCCUUUUGUCGUCUUGUCCGUCUUUGACUCAGAAAGCACUUCUAUUACAGCAUUCUACAGAUGAAAGAUACAAUUGAAAACUAGAAUCUGGACUCCACACUCUUCAGGUUAGCAAAUUACAGACCUAAUUUUUAAAUAUUUUAAUCUAAAAGAUAAAAUUAACAAAAAUAAAAUUUAAAAAAUCAUAAUAAAAAUUCCAAAAAAAACAAUGGUCUGCUCUGUAUUUUUUAAUUUUUGUUACUUCAAAAAGUUUAAUAACAUAAUUUUUCACCAAAACUAUUCUUUUUAAUAAUAUGAAAAAAAAAAUUAUAAAAAGUCAAGUGCAAUUAAAAAAACCCAUCAAAUCAAUAAACUUGAAUAAUUUGGGUUAUUUCGACUAACCCAUAAAUCAUGUUAACAUGGUAGAAAGAUAAAAUUAAAAAAAAAUUAUAAAGUUAAACUCUCAACCAUUUUAAUAUUAUAAAAUAAAAUGAACUAAAAUAAUUUAAAAAAAUUAUAAAAAUAAAAAUAUAUAUAAAAACUAUAUAUAUAAAAAAAAAUAUUAUAGCAAUCCGUGAUUUUGUAAUAAAAUUACUGUGAUUUUUCUAAUUCAUCUGUACAUAUUUAAUCCAGAUAUGAUUAAAAUAGAAACUAACUCGAUUUUUUGGCGACAGCAGGUCGCCUGAGUAAAUCUGGGCAGUGCAUAUUUUUUUCAAAGCAUUAAGGGUCGUCCGCCACUUAAGAAUAUGGUCAAAUAUGGGUGACUGUGUACAUUUACUUGUAUAAAAGCAAAGGGACCCACGCAGGUCCCUGUGUUUCAUCAUGUAGGCUGAACCUGUCAACACUUUAGAUGGAGGAUGCCUGCUGAUUAGUCAAUGAAGUCAAUUUGGACGCGUGGAUACUUUACGGUGGGGUCUUGUUUUGUGAAACUUUCGGCUUGAGAAAUACUGGGAAUGUGGAUUUUGCAUUUUAGUGAUUCCUCGGUGUGAAAUGUGGAAACUGUGGGUGGGGCGGCCAUGAUAUUAACAUAUAUCCCUGUUUUCCAAGCCACAAUUUCAAUUGAUAUCAAAUAUAAUGUAUCAAAUAAGUUAAUAAUGUAUUUAAUUUAUUAUAUAUUAUUUUCCCUCCUCAACUUCACAAUUGGGUACAUAAAUUAAGAUUAAGUAGAUAACACGUAAGUAGGGUGGGAUUAUAGCUUCUUGGUCAACUACUCAAAAACAAUUAAGGAUUAAAUCGAUCGCUAAUAUUAUGAAGAAAAGAAAAGAAAGAGAACAACCCAUUAAACAAGCAAUCCAUGGAGGAUGGAGCCAUUGUACAUUUUAAUUAAGAAGACUCAACGACUUCUCCUCUCCACUCAGAAAAGAAAGCGGAACUCCACUCUUAUCUCAAUCAUUUUUUUCCCUAUCAAACACUUCCUCCCCUCACUCAAAAAGAAAAUGGCCGAAGCUUUUGCAGCCGAUAUUGCAAAAUCCCUUCUAGGGAAGUUAGGCUCUUUCGCUGUUCAAGAAUUUCGUUUGGCAUGGGGACUUGAAGAUGACCUUGCACGUCUUGAAGAGAUAUUGAAAGCCAUCAACGCGGUGCUGUCCGAUGCUGAGCAGAAACAAUCAAAGAAUAACGGGAUUCGGCUCUGGCUCCAUAUGCUCAGAGAAGUCUUGUAUGAUGCAGAGGACGUGCUGGACGAAAUCGAGUGCGAAACUUUGCAAAGGAAGGUGGUGAAAACUAAAGGGAGCACCAGCAGAAAGGUACUCCACUUCUUUACAAGAUCUCCAUUCCGUUUAAUAAUAGGUCAUAAGAUAAAGAAGAUCAUAGAAAGACUAGGUGAGAUUUCAGCUCUUAAGUCUGACUUCAACCUCAGCGAGCAGGCUAUUGAUUGUAGUCAUGUCUUGCAUGAGGAAACAGAGAUGAACCGAUCCUUUGAGAGCUUUUCCGGUCUUAUUGGAAGAGAUAAAGACAAAGAACGCAUCAUCAACCUUUUAGCAGCACCUUCUAAGGUUGGUGAUGCACAUCCCGUUGUCCUUCCGAUAGUAGGAAUGGGAGGCUUGGGGAAGACAUCUCUUGCCAAAUCGGUGUGUGAUGCUGAAAAUGUAAAAAGUCAUUUUGAACUGAAGAUGGAGGUCUGUGUUUCAGAUGAUUUUUCCUUGAAACAAGUGAUACAAAAGAUUAUUAAAUCUGCAACUGGGGAAAGAUGUGCGGAUUUGGAUGAGGGUGAACUUAAUAAAAAACUUGAAGAAAUUGUGAAUGGUAGGAAAUACUUGCUUCUUUUGGAUGAUGUUUGGAAUGAAGAUGCUCAAAAAUGGUUGUUGUUGAAGCCUUUGUUAUCAAAAGGUGCUGAUGGAAGUAAGAUUAUAGUAACUACCCGUAGUCAACGUGUUGCUGAGAUUAUGGGUACUGUUCCUGCGGACAACCUAAGUCUUCUUGGUCAAGAGGACUGUCUGUCGUUGUUUUACAAGUGUGCAUUCAAGGAAGGGCAAAAGGAGUUGUAUCCAAAUUUGGUUGGAAUUGGGAAAGAAAUAGUGGAAAAAUGCAAGCAAGUUCCUCUGGCAGUGAUUAACUUGGGGACUCAACUGUAUGGUAAGACUGAUGAAAAAGAGUGGCAAUCGGUGAGAGACAGUGAGAAGUGGGAAGAAGAGGGAGAUGGCAUUUUACCUGCCUUGAAAAUAAGCUAUCAAAGACUGCCGACUCACUUGAAAAGAUGCUUUCUUUAUUGUUCGGUUUU
rnacentral:lncRNA from 1 species